AUCUUGUAUCACGUGACAGGGGCGGCGCGGCCCGGGGUGUCAGUGUGGAGGAGACUGAGGUAAAGUUGGGAGCGCAGCGGCGUUGGUGGCGGCGGCGGCGGCAGCGGCAGCGCGGCGGGGCCGGGUAUUGUCCGCGGCCCCUUUAAAUCCGCGAUCCCCCUUUUACCCUCCCUUCUUUCUCUCCUACCCCCGCCGUAUCUCCCCUCCGGUAGGCCCCCCCGCGCCGUGCGCUCCCCCUCUGUACACCCCCUUCUGGUCUCGGGAGCCCUGGCCCCCCCCCCCCCCCCACCUCGAGUCGGGCGCCGGAGGUUUUGUUUAUGGUUGGGUUCGCGGCCUAGUGGGCCGCGCCGGAGCCGGGGCCUCGAUUUGGGAGCGUGGCCGGGGCGGGGCUUGGGGCAGCCGGACGGGGGGGGGCCAUGCGGCUAGAGCCUGAAGGGGGAGAACGAGAAAGAGCGCGAGCGAACUAGGCCUGGGCCUAGCCUGAGGUAGGGCUGUCUCCCAGGGCCGGUGCCUGUGGAGAAGGAGAGGGCCGCCUCCCUUUCCAGCCCUCUGCGGGCCUCUGAUCCGGAUCCGGCCUGGUUGGGGGUGGCGGGGGGAGGGCGAUGGGGUGGAGCUGCCCCGACUCCCCCAUGUGGCCCUCAGUUUGGAGUGCGGAGGAUUAAUUUGUUCCGGGUGGGAGGUAGGGAGGCGAUUGGCCCCGUGGGCUCCUGAUGUGGCGCUGAGGGGGGUGAGCCUCCCAUCCUCCGCGCGUGGGCUUGCGUCCCCUCUCCGUUUCCAGCCUCUUUGUCAGCUCCACUUAUUACUCUUUCUUCUUUCUUACCGACCCGGCUGUGGGAAUAUAUUUUUGCAGCUGUCUUAAGCUUCCUGUUGUCUAUACUGUGGUUUUGGGUACCCCAAACAAUUAUGUUAUUUGGGAAGCUGGACCUGUAGGCCCCCAUAGGGUGUAUCACGCCUAAGGGACGUCACUGGGUCGCUGGGGUAUUUGUUCACUCUUCAUAAUGGCACAGGAAUUCCAGACUUCUUCAGACCCUUCACCUUGUGGACAGCCCUAAAUUGCUUUGCAAACUGAUGUCACAAACAGGAGACUGCUCCUUUUUCAGGAUUCUUGAAAUGUAGCCACCUCUGUUGUAGGAUGUUGUGGAAAGGAAAACACCACAGUAACGGCGUUUUUGUUGUUAUUAACGUUUUUGCCUUUGACUCAUCGUGAUUAGUAAAUGGAGAGAUCUCCCCCCCAUCCAUCUUCCGCCCCCCCCAUAUCCUGCUUUAGGAAUAUCUGAUGUGAAUUGCUGGGAGGUGAUAGUGUUCUGUGACAACCAGCAUUACUAGAUAAUUAAAACAUUUUGGCUCUAUUAUCAGUUGACAAAACUGCUUUGAGAUCCUACACCAUUGCCUUUAAAGAUUAGAAGAUCCCCAUGAUUGUUUCUGUUGUGAAUGGGAAGUAUUGCUGGCAUGUAAACUAUUGAUAAAAGGCCUAAAAAUGUACUGUUUUGUUUUUUUAUUUUUUAAACCCCUUCUUGUGAAGUGUGUCUUUAACUGAGCAUUACUCACUAGAUUCAAGGUGGUGGGAAAGGGGACGCAGAGGUCAUUUCAAAAAGGCAACUAGGGAAAUUAGUUGUGCUGGUAAAGGUAGCAAGCCUUCCCCAUCACAGUCCAUCUUCAGGAUUUCUGAAUUGGUUCUCAAAUUAGAUUGUAAGCUCCCUGAGGGCAGCAAAAAGUCAUAAUGUUUUGUAUUUUCUGAAGUAUUGGACACAUAGUAGACACUCAAUAAAUUCUUGUUAUUUAUUUUUUUCAGUAAAAUUUCUCUGGCUAUUUUUUUAAGUAGCUGGUUUCCAAAAUAGAGAGUCAGGGGCACUCCUGUGUUGACUUGUAUUUGCUCCUGCACUAUUCCCUUGGUUUCCAGUACUUCUCCCCCUGGUUCCCUGAUUUUUUAUUUUCUAAGAAAGAGUAACAAGAUUCCACACCUCCACUGUGAUAACUCUGGUUAUUUGUCCCUAAUUUUUAUUUUCCAGGAAAGUAACAAGAUUCCUCACCCCCACUACUAGAACUCUGGGUAUUUGUCUCCACUUACUACUAAAAAUUCUAUUAAUUCUUUGUCCUUAAGUGAUCCAUCCCAGAUCAUUUACUUGUGACCUGUUGCUUGGUGUUAUUAUUAUGUAGGUGGUAAAAUUCUGUUAGUCACACAUUUCAAAGCACUUGUAAGAGUGAAGUGCAAGUUAGUAGUAAGAGUGAUCAGGAGGAUUUUUCUCUUUCCUGAUUAAUUAUAUGACGUUCAAGAUCACUUUCUAAUACAUUUACACCUGACUGGAAAGGUAUGUGCGGUGGUCUAUACAGUUAGUCCAUUAGCUUAUAUUUGCAAAUAAACUCAUUCUCUCAAAUUGAUAUAUGUGAAGUUGAAAGUAGUCAGUAUUUGAAAGUUACAGUGGUGGGUUGGAAAUAACUACUCUGAUUUAGAAACUUCAUCUUAGAGCCAAUUUAAAGUUAAACAUAAUUGUUUUCCUCUAUAGUUUUUUUUUUUUUUUUCUUCCCCUCUUCUUGAUAAGGACCCAGGGUUCUUGGUUAAACAACACUUUUCUUUUUUUGUAAAUUAAGUGUUGAAACUUGACUAUAAUGUCAGCCUGGGGAAAUGGACUACUGUGUUGCAUAAUAAUAAAAUAAAAUUCUAUACUAGCUUGAAAUAUUUACAGGCUUGUGUGCACAUGUAUGCAGGGACGGGGUUAAUGAUUAAAAAUUAGCUAUGAAGUUGUCUUUAAAAUAUAUUUCUUGGUGAUAGGGAAUGUAGACCGCAUCAAAAACCAAAGACCUAUGUAACCUAUUGAUACAAAACUUGGUGAAGCUUGGUGCAGUGACGCAUGUCUGUAAUCCCCCAGCAGCUCAGGAGGCUGAGGCAGGAGGAUCAGAAGUUCAAAGCCAUCCUCAGGAAUUUAGCAUGGCCCUAAGCAACUCAAUGAGACUCUGUCUCUAAAUAAAAUACAUAAAGGGCUGGGGAUGUGACUCUGUGGUUGAGUUCAAUUCCUGGUACCAAAACAAAACAAAACAUAAACUUGGUGAAGAAUUUCUCCAGGGAAGUCAGCUCUGACAUUCAAUAAACAGGUGCAAUUUACUUUCUUAAUAGUUAAUCCUUACACAUUUAUUUAGAAGCCCUCCUUCAAAAUCCNGCAGCAAAAAGUCAUAAUGUUUUGUAUUUUCUGAAGUAUUGGACACAUAGUAGACACUCAAUAAAUUCUUGUUAUUUAUUUUUUUCAGUAAAAUUUCUCUGGCUAUUUUUUUAAGUAGCUGGUUUCCAAAAUAGAGAGUCAGGGGCACUCCUGUGUUGACUUGUAUUUGCUCCUGCACUAUUCCCUUGGUUUCCAGUACUUCUCCCCCUGGUUCCCUGAUUUUUUAUUUUCUAAGAAAGAGUAACAAGAUUCCACACCUCCACUGUGAUAACUCUGGUUAUUUGUCCCUAAUUUUUAUUUUCCAGGAAAGUAACAAGAUUCCUCACCCCCACUACUAGAACUCUGGGUAUUUGUCUCCACUUACUACUAAAAAUUCUAUUAAUUCUUUGUCCUUAAGUGAUCCAUCCCAGAUCAUUUACUUGUGACCUGUUGCUUGGUGUUAUUAUUAUGUAGGUGGUAAAAUUCUGUUAGUCACACAUUUCAAAGCACUUGUAAGAGUGAAGUGCAAGUUAGUAGUAAGAGUGAUCAGGAGGAUUUUUCUCUUUCCUGAUUAAUUAUAUGACGUUCAAGAUCACUUUCUAAUACAUUUACACCUGACUGGAAAGGUAUGUGCGGUGGUCUAUACAGUUAGUCCAUUAGCUUAUAUUUGCAAAUAAACUCAUUCUCUCAAAUUGAUAUAUGUGAAGUUGAAAGUAGUCAGUAUUUGAAAGUUACAGUGGUGGGUUGGAAAUAACUACUCUGAUUUAGAAACUUCAUCUUAGAGCCAAUUUAAAGUUAAACAUAAUUGUUUUCCUCUAUAGUUUUUUUUUUUUUUUUUUCUUCCCCUCUUCUUGAUAAGGACCCAGGGUUCUUGGUUAAACAACACUUUUCUUUUUUUGUAAAUUAAGUGUUGAAACUUGACUAUAAUGUCAGCCUGGGGAAAUGGACUACUGUGUUGCAUAAUAAUAAAAUAAAAUUCUAUACUAGCUUGAAAUAUUUACAGGCUUGUGUGCACAUGUAUGCAGGGACGGGGUUAAUGAUUAAAAAUUAGCUAUGAAGUUGUCUUUAAAAUAUAUUUCUUGGUGAUAGGGAAUGUAGACCGCAUCAAAAACCAAAGACCUAUGUAACCUAUUGAUACAAAACUUGGUGAAGCUUGGUGCAGUGACGCAUGUCUGUAAUCCCCCAGCAGCUCAGGAGGCUGAGGCAGGAGGAUCAGAAGUUCAAAGCCAUCCUCAGGAAUUUAGCAUGGCCCUAAGCAACUCAAUGAGACUCUGUCUCUAAAUAAAAUACAUAAAGGGCUGGGGAUGUGACUCUGUGGUUGAGUUCAAUUCCUGGUACCAAAACAAAACAAAACAUAAACUUGGUGAAGAAUUUCUCCAGGGAAGUCAGCUCUGACAUUCAAUAAACAGGUGCAAUUUACUUUCUUAAUAGUUAAUCCUUACACAUUUAUUUAGAAGCCCUCCUUCAAAAUCCAGCAGUGUCUUUUGGACAAUUUAGAAUUAACCCUGUAUUUAAUGAAAAAUUAAAUAUAGAGCAGAAAAGCAUAACUUGUUUUCUUUGGAAGAAAAUAAAACAUUUUAAAGUAUCUUUUGUUGAGCACUCUAUCAUAUGAUGACUUUAAAAAAAAAAUGCAGCAGCUGAAAUUGCAUUAUAGAACAAAAUGUGAAUGAAGGGAACUUGAAUUCCGUUGAAGCCUUCGUUAGAAAUCUUAUAAUGAAAACUGUCAGGGAAGGCCCUUUGUAUUCUGUGUCUCUUAAAAGACAAGUUUUCCUACAGGCAUUAAUGUUUUGACCUUAAAAUGAUUUCCUAGAAGCCCUUUUAAAUAAAAUUUUGUGAUAUAUGUGAUUGGUUUGGGACAAAUUUGGAAUUCCCUGUGUUUUAAGGUGAGUGGUUGAGGGUAAUUGUAAUUCUGGUUUCUUGAAAAUGUGGACGAAACCCACAGAAGCAGCUGUAAAAGCAGUGUGUUGGAAUUAUUAUGCAGGGAACUGAAAAUCUGAACUGGAACUGGAUCCUAAUACAUGCCCUGUUGAAGGGUGCAGUUAAAAAAAUAAAACCUAUAGCAUGCUGAAAGAUGAAACUUAAGGGAGAAAGAGGCUAGACUUGAACUUAUCCUUUCCCCCAAGCAGUGGAGGUCAAUGUGUAAGGCAGGUAAGAUGGUUGUCUUAGGUAGGUUGAAUACAGUAUUUAUAUACAGUAUUUUCUGUAUGUGUGUUUAUUGAAUGGCUUAUUUUAUUUUUUGAGGUGGUGUGGAUCGAACGUAGGGCCUUGGACAUGUUAGGCAAGCCUUCUCCCAUUGAGCCACACUCACUCCCAACCCCUGCUUUUUUUUUGGUGGUAUUUGGGGUGGAAUCCCCUAAGUGUGUUCUGCCAUUGAGCUAUAUCCCAAGCCCUAUACAUUAUUGUGCAAAGGUGAAUUAACAGCCAUAGUUCCUUAAGGAAAUUAUCAAAUAUGUCUCAAAAAUAGGUGACUUUUUGCUUUGUUCCUUUAAAGAAAUCAAGUGUUUGGUGGCGAAGGUGCUGAUGAAAGAGAAGUUAAAAACAUUUUGCCUAUAUUUUAAUGCCUAAUUUUUUUUUUUUUUUAAUCCUCAGUAUUCUACCUUGUAAAUACUGUUAUUUGUAUAUACUGUAAAUGAUGACGUCGGUGGGCACUAACCGAGCCCGGGGAAACUGGGAACAACCUCAAAACCAAAACCAGACACAGCACAAGCAGCGGCCACAGGUAAAAGAACCCAAAGGCUAUGGAUUCAUGGGUAACUCUACUGGUAGAUAGGGGUUUGGGGGUUUUAUUCUUGUUAGUCCUUGGAUUUCUUUUGUUUUCUUUUUAAAGGGUGAGAUAGCUCUCAAUGACAUGCUGCGAUACAACAUGCUUUUGUUGUUGUUGUUUAAUGCUACAUUGUAAGACUUAUGGCUCCAGUUUGAGUCCUGUGCUGCUUUGUGUCUCUAACAGGUGUUUUCCUUUUAUCAUCUGGACCAUUUAAUAGUACAUUUCUUGUUUCCUAGGCUUUCUUCUACCUUGACAUCUCUUUAGUCAGCCUUUGUCUUGACAACUUUUCCCUUCCAGAUUUUGUCUUUCAUUCUAACAAUUGAGGCCCUCUAGUUCAUUGUUUAGUAUGAGAUCUUAAGGAAUAAAUUAACCUCAUGGGUAUUAAGUUUGAUUUAGAUGUGGUCUGUUUUAUAACCAGUAAAGAUAUCUAAUGUGAAUGAUACCUAAUGUGAAUGAAGUACUUAAUGUUUGGCUGUGGUCAGAUAUGUUGAAUAUGUAGGACUAUAAUUUUUCCUUAAUGUGCUUUUAUUUUUUUAAUAAGAUUUGAUUGAAUCUUUUUAAAAUAUUUUAUUUAUUUAUUUAUUUUAUGUGGGGCCUGAGAAUCAAGCCCAGUGCCUCAGACAUGCUAGGCGAGCGCUCUACCACUGAGCCACAUCCCCCAGCACAUUUUUUUUUUAAAAUAUAUCUUUUUUAGUUGUAAUUGGACACAAUACCUUUAUCUUACCUGUUUAUAUUAUGAGGUGUUGAGGACCAAACCCAGUGCUUCUCAUAUGCUAGUUGAGCAUUCUACCACUCAGCCCCAGCCCCUGUUUUUUUUUUUAAACAGAAAAUUCUAGUAGAAUUUUCACAAUUAAUCUCUUAAGAGGUUAGUAUUAGUAAUUGAAGAAAUAAGAACUGGGUUUAUAUAUAACUUUGUAAAUACAUUGAUGUGAAUUAAGGGGCAGAUAUUCCAAAGUGCUAUAAUUCCAAGAUGAAAGCCCCUUUAACGUGAACAUUGAUGGAAAAGCUCCCAGUUCUUUUUUGGAUUUUAGAAUGAAAUAGUUACAGGUUUCCUCUGUUUUUGUUAUUUUGCCUAUUUAACUAUCUUUAAAUUAUUUUGCAACAAGGAAAAAAAAACUAGGGUGAUGGGGAGAGUAAACAUUGCUACUUAGAUCCAUUUUAUUUAUUUUUUAAAAAAAUAUUUAUUUAUUUAUUUUUCGGUGGACACAACAUCUUUGUUUGUAUGUGGUGCUGAGGAUCGAACCCGGGCCACACGCAUGCCAGGCGAGCGCGCUACCACUUGAGCCACAUCCCCAGCCCCAAGAUCCAUUUUAUUUCUCUAAACUCUUGACUUUUGAUUGUUUUCUUGGUCUCAUCUCACUCAAUUCCUAGGCCACUGCGGAACAAAUUCGACUUGCACAGAUGAUUUCGGACCACAAUGAUGCUGACUUUGAGGAGAAGGUGAAACAAGUGAGUGCAUCACUAUUUGCUAUAAGCUAAUAGAAAAGAGAACCACCUGUGAGCAUAAUGAAAUAUCAUAGAUGCUCACCAGGAUUCUUUGUGCCAUGUAUAUUGAAGUAGUUGUCCUGAAAUAUGGUAGAUCAGGCCAAUAAAUAUGUGCUUUCAUUGUCUGAUUUACUGUGUCCCUUUGGAUAAAUACGUUGUUCAAAAAGAUUUUAAUUUUUUUAAGCUUUUUUAAACAUUUUUUUUUUUUUUUAGUUGUAGAUGGACACAAUACCUUUUUUUGUUUAUUUUUAUUGUUUAUGUGGUGCUGAGGAUCGAACCCAGUGCCUGACAUAUGCUGGGCAAGCAUUCUGCCACUGAGCCACAACCCAACCCCAAAGAGGUUUUAUCUUAAUUAUAACUUUAUUGAAUGACUGUUGGUGCCAUUUUAUGUGUAGAGGAAUGGUUUUGGGAGUCAAAUCCAGGGCCUCAUGCUUACUGAGCUACAUCCCUGGCUCCAUUUGAUACCACUUUAUAGCAACUUUGAGCAGUUUGGGACUUCAGAAAUAGGUAAAUUCAUGGUAUGCUAAAGUCUGUAUGUUUUAAGCUUUGAUUUGUCAUUUGAUGCCUAAUUGUUUGAUUGCUUUGUAAAUACUUGUGACCCCAUCCCUAAUAUUUUACUGUUGGAAGUAGAUUUCCAAAAUUUUAAUUGUUUUGCCCCUCAAGCCUUAUGGUUCUUUGAGUCUCAACUGGUAUCUCCUGUCUUUAUCUAUUUACCUUUUGUGUGGAGUGUAAGUUUAUUUGUGAUGGCUGUUGAUUUUUCUUUUUCAGUUGAUUGAUAUCACAGGCAAGAACCAGGAUGAAUGUGUGAUUGCUUUGCAUGACUGCAAUGGAGAUGUUAACAGAGCCAUCAAUGUUCUGCUGGAAGGAAACCCAGACACGGUAGAGUGCUAAAUAGUGUUUUAGAAUGUGGGUCCUGGGUUGGGAAGCUAGUAAUAUUCUAAAUAUAACAAGUGGGAUAGUCGACUUCAACCAGUAUACCUUAUUCUCCAAGUUGAGGAGGGAGCUUUCUUGGAGAUUAUUAUCUUGCAGGUUGCAAAUACUUAAAAUUUUUCUUCAAGAGGAUAAUAGUCAUAGGAAAAACAGGUAAAAUUAGUAUCUUCUAAUUGGGUUUGGAAUAAAUUAUUCAUUCCAGACUAGUGACUAUUUUUGAGGCUUGGGUUAGUCUGAAUGAAUUAGAAGUGCUACUUGAUAGCCUUGGUUAUUAAUCAUGGAAGAUUUCUGCUCACUUUUUUUUUUUUUUUUUUGAAGUACUGGGGAUUGAACCCAAGGGUGAUUUACCACUGAGCUACAUUCCCAUCCCUUUUUAAGACAGUCUUGCUAAGUUGCUGAGGCUGGUCUUGAACUUGCAAUCCUUUAACCUCAGUCUCCUAUGUUGCUAGGAUUACAGGUGCGCUAUUACUCCCAGCCUCUGCUCACCCUUUUUUGUUGUUGUUGCUGUUGAUCAAAAUCACAAACUAUACAAUUCAGAACAUUUCCAUUAAUAUCACCUUUAUAUUGCACAAUACUGUUGAAUUGCCUGAACUUGGUUGUAUUGAGAUAGCAAAGAAACAAGCUUUAAUAAGUAUUUUUUUUUUUUUUUUUUGGGUGUAGAUUGUAGAUGGACAAAAUAACUUUUAUUUAUUUAUUUAUUUCCAUGUGGUGGUGAGGAUCGAACCCAGCACCUCACAUGUGCUAGGCAAGCGCUCUACCACUGUGCUACAACCCCAGCCCUUAAUGAAUAUUUUGUGAUUUUCUUACACCUUAUAACUUUUGUGGGUUAUUCCCACAGUGCUUACUAGAGAACUUCCUUAAGUGAGCACUGGAGCAUUUUGAAAUAAUUUUCAUUUAUUUAUCUUACACUGGGGGAAUCUUUGGUUGGAAUAGAGUUCAUCCUUAGAGUUAUGAAUUUCCUAAGGUUACAGUGUCACAUCAACAGAAUACUAAAUUGUCUAUUUCCUUGAGACACUGGGAAAUAAUAGUGAAAAACUUUAUAAAAUAAUCGAAUUUAAGUUUGUGGGAUUUUUGGUGUCCCCUUCCAAAAAAAAAAAAAAAUUACUCCUGGAUUACAUUCUGUGUAAUUGUUCUCAUUAGAAAAUUCACUGCUUGGACAAUCAAGUCACAAUGCCUUUGGUCCACUUGUUUACACCAAAAUAAUCGCCUCAAGGUAUUCUUUUGGUGGGAGAGGUUGGAUAUCUCAUGCUUUUUUAAAAGUCCACAAGUCACAUUUUUCUCACCUCCAGCAUCUUCUGUCUAGUGCUACAAGUUUGACCUUCCAGGGGCUGGGGUUUUGGCUCAGUGGUAGAGCGCUCGCCUAGUAUGUGAGAGGAACUGGACUCCAUUCUCAGCAUCGCAUAUAAAUAAAUGAAUAAAAUAAAGUUUGACCUUCCAGAGCAUCAAAAAGGAAAAAAAGGUAGAGAAUAUAGGCUUAUGCCACAAAUAAACCAGCUACUAGAAAAUCAAUGGGAAGCAAAGUCAUCUGCUGGGGGUGUUGGAUGAAUUUGAGUGGGUGAGAUCAUAUCAGAAAACUGGCAGAAGAUAAUCGUAAUUAUUUUUCUUUAUAGAACCCAUCUGGUGCCUGCAGCUAAUGUAUACACAGGGGAGGGAGACAGGUGACAGGUUCCUGAAAUUUGCCAGGUUUUGAGACAGAUUAGCAUAAAUUCUAGAAGCUGUUUUUAGUCUAGUUUCCAGAGUUCCUGGUGCAGAUUUAGCUAUUGGGCUAUUACAAUUUACGAAUUAAAGCUACUAUAGUAUCAAAUGACACUUCCAACUAAAAUGUGAAAUAAGACUGGGUUGGAAGAGUAUAUAUAGCAGGGAACUGCUUAGGACUAGGUAGGUACCUCAUCUUUUAAAAAACUUUUUUUAGUAAACUAUUAUAGAUUCUUUAAAAUAUGUUAAUAUGCUUUAAUUUUAAUUUGGGGGGCAAGGGGUGGAGAUUGAAUGCAGGACCUCACAUUUGCUAAGCAUGUGCUCUCUCACUGAGCUAUAUCCAAGCCCUGAAUUCACUUUUUUUUUCUUAAAAAAUUAAAGUCUUUGGUAAAAUAAACAUAAAAUUUACCAUUUUAACUAUUCUUUUUUUUUUUUUUUUUUGGUACCGGGGAUUAAACUCAGGGGCACUUGACCAUUGAGCCACAUCUCCAUCCCUAUUUUGUAUUCUUUUUAGAGACAGGGUCUCACUGAGUUGCUUAGCGCCUUGCUUUUGCUGAGGCUGGUUUUGAACUUGUGAUCCUCCUGCCUCAGCCUCACAAGCCGCUGGGAUUACAGGAGCGUGCCACUGCGCCCAGCAUUUUAACUAUUCUUUUUUUAACUUUUUUUUAGUUGUAGUUGGUACAGUGUCUUUAUUUAUUUAUUUUUAUGUGGUGCUGAGGAUUGAACCCAGUACCUUACAUGUGCAAGGCAAGUGCUCUACCACUGAGCUACAGCCCCAGCCCUUUAACUCUUGAAUGUUUAAUUCAGUGACAUUAAGUACAUUCACAAAGGGUGCAGCCAUUACUGAUUUUUCCAGAACUUGUUCAUUGUCCUAACCGGGAAUUCUAUAUGUAUUUCAUAACUCUCCAUUCCUCCCUUCCCCAUUUCCUAGUAACCUCUACUAUUUUCUGUUUUCUAUGAAUUUGCCUCUUUUAGGUAAAGGAGAAGCAUACCGUGUUUAUCCUUUGGUUUCAAGCUCAUUCAUUUUCCAUAUUUUCAAGUUUCAUUUAUGUUGUAGGAUUUCAUUCCUUUUUAAGAAUGAAUAGUAUUCUGUUCACCUUUGGAGGCUGAGGCAGGAGGAUUUCAAGUUCAAAGCCAGCCUCAGCAACUUAGUGAGACCCUAAGCAACUCAGCGAGACCCUGUCUAAAUAAAAUAUUAAAAUUGGCUGGGGAGCCCGGGUACGAUGGCACACAUCUGUAAUCCCAGCAGCUCAGGAGGCUGAGAUAGGAGGAUUGCAAGUUCAAAGCCGGCCUCAACAAUGGCAGGGCACUAAUAAGUAACUCAGUGAGGCCCUGUCUCUAAUAAAAUACAAAAAUAGAGCUGGGGAUGUGGCUCAGUGUUUGAGUGCCCUUGGGUUCAAUCCUGGACCAAAAACCAAACAAACAAAAAACGGGCUAGGAUGUGGCUCAGUGGUUAAGCGUCCCCUGGGUUCAAUCAAUCCCUGCUACCAAAAAAGAAAAGAAAAAUGUUAAUGAUAACUCUGUUGUAUGUGUAUACCAUGUUUUAUUUUAUUUAUCUGUGCGUCUAUUGGUGGACACUUAAUUCUGUGGAAGUUGUAGACAUUAUAAUACUUCAUUUCCUAAAUUUUUCAAUAUAUGACUAUAAUUACUAUUUUCAAGUUGGGUGUGGUGGCAUAUAUUUGUAAUUCCCAGUAACUGUGGAGGCUGAGGAAGGAGGAUCCCUAGUUCAAGGCCUACCUCCACAACUUAGUGAGACCCCCAUCUCAAGAAAUAAAAAGGGCUGGGGAUGUAGCACAGUGGUAAAGUGCCCCCCUGAAUUCAAUCCCGAGUUUCAGAUAAAAAAUACUAUUGUAAUCCUGAGAAAAGUAACAACAGUUUUAUAUUGCCUAGUACCUGUUUUUUAAUUUUUUUUUUUUUUUAGUUUUAGAUGAACACAUACCUUUAAUUUUUAUGUGGUGCUGAGUAUCAAACCUAGUGCCUCACACGUACAAGAAAAGUACUUUACUACUGAGCCACAACCCCAGCCCCUGUUUUUUUUUUUUUUUUCCCCAUUACUAGGGAUUGAUUCAGGACCUUUCCCAUGCUAGUCAAGCACUCUACCACUGAACUAGAUCCCCAGCGUUGUGUUUUCUUUUUUUUUUUUUUUUUUUUUUCAGACAGGGUCUUGAUAUGUUGCUCAGCCUGGCCUUAAACUUUGAACCCUCCUGCUUCAGCCUCCCCAGUAGCUGGGAUUACAGGCAUGUACCAUUGCACACUGCUUGCUGGUUCAUAUUCUUCAAAGUUACCAGAUAUUAGAUAGCUGUUAAUGAGUGAGCACCAGUGCCAUAGUUCUUUCAGUUACAGUAACUAAGAUAGUAAAGGUAUAAUAGUCUUUUUUUGUUCUGGAACAUUUGUAACAGGUGUUUUGUGAAGAGAUAUGUAAAUUAAAGUGUGCUUUUUUUUUUUUUUUUGUACUAAGGAUUAAACCCAAGGACACUGCACCAAGUAAGCAACCUCACUAGCUCUUUUUAUUUUGAGACAAGGUCUUACUCAAUUCCCAAGGCUGGCCUCAAACUUUCCAUCCUUUUGCCUCAGCUUCCUGAGUCCCUGGGAUUACUAUGUGCCAUGAUUCUUGGCAGUAUGCUUUUUUUUUGUUUUGUUUUUUGUACUGGGAUUGAAUUUAGGGACACUCAACCACCAAGCCACAUCCCCAGCCCCAUAUUGUUAUAGAAAUAAACCUUUACUUUGUUUCUUUAUUUUUUAUAUGGUGCUGAAGAUCAAACCUAGUACCUCACACGUGCUAAGCAAGUGCUCUACCACUGAGCCACAACCCCAGCCCCUGUAUUUUGUUUUGUUUUUAAAUUACUAGGGAUUGAUUGAGGACCUUUCCCAGGCUAGUCAAACCUUGAUUUUUUUUUUUUUUAUUUUUUAGUUGUUGAGGGACCUUCAUUUUAUUUAUUAGUAUGUGUUGCUGAGAAUUGAACCCCGUGUGUCACGCGUGCCAGGCAAGCAUGCUACCACUGAGCCAUAACCCCAGCCCCCUGUAUUGUAUUUUAUUUAGCCAUACGGUCUCACUGAGUUGCUCAGUGCCUUGCCAUUACUGAGGCUGGGUUUGAACUCACAACCCUCCUGCCUCAGUCCCCUGAGCAGUUGGGAUUAUAGGCGUAUGCCACCAUACCCAGCAAUAUGCAUGUUUUUAAAACUUUAAAUUUUCAAGAUUUAUUUUUCUAAGGAGUAAGUGUUUUGCAAUUGUAUUUAGGAUAUUUUCCUUACUAUGGAUUUUACCUCCUAUAAUUUAGAGAACCUGGGGUACUCUACUACUAAACUACAUCCCCAGCCUUUUUUAUUUUGAUCCAUGGUCUUGCUAACUUACUGAAACUGGCCUUGAACUUGAACUGUGUGUAGUAGGAUAUACCAUGUAGGUUUGUAUAAGUUGCACUAUGAUGUUCAUGUAACAAUGAAAUAGCCUUGUGAUGCGUUUCUAAGACUAUAAUCCUGUCAUUAAACUAUAUUCUUUUUAAAUUGGAGUAUAUCAAUUUAAGAAGUGUGGAGAGAAUAUAGUGGAUAAAACCUGGAUGGAAGGCCUCCUAUUAUCACUGUGUCUCAGGGCCAGAGCUGCUGUUAGUGUCUUUUAAAUAUGUGUGCAUGUGUGUAUAAUUAUUGCUUUUGUCCUAAAUUUUUCCCAAGAGCCAAAUGCUGUUCGUGCAUCCUAAAUUUACAGAUAACUUGUAAAAACUUCCAGUUAGUUUUCCUUUUUGCUUUAUUUUAUAUGAAUAAGAAUGUAAAAAGUUGGUUUUGUGUGUGUGGGUCACUGAAUCCAGAGGGGCUAGUUAUUUUAGUCUAGGAAAUGCACUUGAUAGGCACAAAUAACUAGGUUCUUUGAUAGGCUAAGUGACUGAGCUGGAUAGAGAUCUUUUGAAAGUGAUACCUGUAAUCCAUUACCUAUAGGUACCUCCUCUUCAAAAAUAACUUUAAUUUUGGCAGAGAUAGGUAUACAGUUGGUUUUUAGGUUGUGUCUGUGCCUUCCAUUUAAACAGUGAAAUAAACUAAUGGAAAUGUUUUAAACAUGGAUGCAGAAAGAAUAGUCAGUUGUCCAGUCUAAUAUCCUGAUAGCUUGCAGUCCAUAUUAAGAUUAGACAUGAAAGUUCUCCUCUUCUUUAGCAUUCCUGGGAGAUGGUCGGGAAGAAGAAAGGUGUCUCAGGACAGAAGGAUGGUGGCCAGACGGAAUCCAACGAGGAAGGCAAAGAAAAUCGAGACCGGGACAGAGACUAUAGUCGGCGACGUGGUGGGCCACCAAGACGGGGAAGAGGUGCCAGCCGUGGACGAGAGUGUAUGCAUGGGGCUUUAUCAAAACCAGCUGUGGGUCAGUAAUGUCCAGAUUCCAGGGAUGUGUCAGGGCCCUGCUAGACAGGACCCAGGAACCAUGAUAUCACCUUUGUGUUUUUCUUGGCAUCAUGUAUUCUGAGAUUCUGGUAUCUCUUGCAUGUAGUCUUUUCUAGCAGCUGCCACUAGUCUGGCAUAAAAUUAUCCUUUAUUUAUUUAUAAAUUUUGAUUAUAGCUCUCUUUUGUGGCCCAUCUUCAAAUCUUUGAGUAUUCCUUAUGUCCCAUCAUUCCAAGCUCACAUUGUCUUUUUUUUUGUCUUUGUGACACUUUAUUACAUAGCAUUUACACAUUUGUAUAUAUCCUAUUGAUCCUUCUCUGGCCAUUCUCCCUUCCCACCUUCCGUAUUUCAGUUCGGGGUCAGGAAAAUGGAUUGGAUGGCACUAAGAGUGGAGGGCCUUCUGGAAGAGGCACAGAAAGAGGCAGAAGAGGCCGUGGCCGAGGCAGAGGUAAUCAAUUGUGGAGGGAUGGGUAUUGGGGGCAGGUUACUCUUCAGUUCCCUAGGGGUCUUCCUUAUUUAAAAGUAAAUUAAUAUGGAGACUGGUUACCUUAAUUGUUGAGGUCUCAUGCAUAUACUUGAGAUUGCUGAAAUGGAAAAUGGAAAAGAAGGUAGAUGUCAAAUUGAGUUUUUAUUGUUGAUGUUAUUGUUUGCUUGAAGACCCAGCAGUUUGAGCCGCAAGAACUAUCUGUCAACACUAAUGAUUGUCUUACUCUAUUAACUGAUGUGAUACAUGGGAUUGAGAGAAAGAAAAUCUGAUACUAUGAGCCACUUACUGUUCCGCAGCUGCCUCAGCUGGAAAGGUGGUUUUAUAUCAACUUCUAAAUAUUUCUCUGUCCCUCUGUUUCUCUCUCUCUCUCUCUCUCUCUCUCUCUUUUUUUUCUUUAGGAGGCUCUGGUAGGCGGGGAGGAAGGUUUUCUGCUCAAGGAAUGGGGUACGUUUCUUUGAUCCAAUGUAUUUAACUUUUCCCCCCUAAGAAUAUCCAAAAUGUGAUUAGAAUGAUUUCUAGAUUAUUUAAUCAGAAAGAUGUGUAGAUUUAGGGCUCAUUCCUCAGGAAUACUACCUAGGUCAUUAAUCUCUUACCAUAUUGUAUACAUUGAUAUUUGGGUAGGGUGAUAAACAAAGAAAAAGUAGACAGCAUAUAGGAUUAUAAAAUGGGAUAUGAUUGAUCUGUACUAAGAAGAUAGUAUUCCGAUUAUCCUUUGGGUUAAUAUUUGCUGAAGCUGCUUAGAGGUUAGAGACUCUUUUAAGCUUUUAUUUUUUUUCAGAACCUUUAACCCAGCUGAUUAUGCAGAGCCAGCCAAUACUGAUGAUAGUUACGGUAAUAGUAGCGGCAAUACGUGGAACAACACUGGCCACUUUGAACCAGAUGAUGGGACGAGUGAGUAACCAUUUACUGUUAUUUAUUUCUUGUCUCUGGACUUAAGGAAUUUUUUUUGUGUGUGUGUCUAUGUGUAUGUGCAUUUUUGGGGAUUGAAUUCAUAGCUGCCUCCUUGCUAGGCAAACACUGUACCAUUGAGCUAUAUCCCCAGUUCAGGAAAUAAUUUUUUCGAGGUUACAGUUAAAUUUAAAAAGUAAAAGAAUAGUGUUUAGAUUUAGAGAUCUGGGACAAAAGCAGUAGCAAUUAAAUUAUUGUGUACUGAUUACUUACCUCGUGCUUAUGAGCCUAAUAUAUGUGCUAUUUCACUCGGUCUCUUCACUGUUUAUGAAAUAGACAUUAUUUAUCAUCACUUUCCUGAUGAUAAAACUAAGACUGAAAGAGGUUACGAAUUUGCUGGUAGUUGAACUUAGAAUUUUAUGAUUCUAAAAGUCUAUCCUCUUACCGUAAUAUCAUGUGGCUGCUGUUAGUUCCAAGCGUUUCCUAGAGUUUAUUUUGGGGUAGCAUUGGUUUUUGAAAAGUUAUCUAAAAUCAGACAAUCACUUAAUUAAGUCUUUACUUGUAGAGAUGAAUAAUCAAAGUCCACAACUGUUUGUUGAUUUGUUUUCUGGUACCAAGAUAAGAAUAUCCUUUUUUUUUUUUUUGCCUUCAUUUUUGAGAAAUCUCAAUAACUGAGCAAGAAUGAAUUCUCUGACCUCCCUCUGUCUGUCUAAUAGCCUUCUUGCUCUGGUGAAUAUUAUGAGAUUUGGGUAAGAGCUUUUUUGCUAGCUGACUCUGUGUCUGCAUCCAGAUAGGAUGUAAAUGCUUAAGGGUAUGUUAGACUUGUGGGAUAAACCCAGAUGUGUUUUGGAGUAAAAGGUACACGUGUUGCUUUUAAAAAUAGUAGCCUCUAGGCUUCCUGUGAGAUCAUCUACCUUCUGGCAGAGCCAGCACAUGAGAGCCUGAGGCUUUUCCUCUUGUGAAAGGAUCUAGCUUAAUAGUAGGGCCUGAAAUAGGCUCUCUGACGCCUUAUCCAUUUAAAUUUGCCUAGUUUCCUUUCAAAGAUCAAUUAUCUUUAUCUCCGGAUCUUUAGGAGGGUCUUUGGAAAAAACAACUUGUAUUCUGUUGCAUACAAGAUGUUAUACCUUAGGUUUGAAAGUUACCACUUUUUGUUUGCCAAACUGCUACUUCAUGAGCUCAUUUUUAAUAUUUCUCAUGGGGGGGAGGGUGAAGUGGAGGUAUUGGCAAAAGAUAGGUAUCUUGUUAAGUUUCACUAUCAUUCGGCUAUAAAAUGUUCCAAUCUCUUUUACCUUCCUAUACUUAAGAGACAUUAGAAGUGUUCUUCAUUCAUUUCCUGAUGAAUUUGUAGAGGUAGUAUAGUAGCAGUCUCAAUGUCAAAAGUUACUAUUUUCAAACUGUUUGUUCUGGGCUCUUUGGCUUUUCAAUCUUUGCCAGAAAAGAUGAUAAAAAUUUAAGCUAUCUGUUUUUAGUUGGGAAUAUAUAUUCAUUCGUGGCAUUUCAGUUCUUAGCAUUAGGAUCUGGUUGGAAAUACAGGGUAUGAUGAUGUGAAUUUUUAUGUCUGGUGAGUAGAAAAGUAGAUUUUAGAAGUCUGGAAUCAGAAAUCAGUGAUGUGUGACUGAAAAAGAUCAUCUUGUUAGUGUUAAAGUGUUGUAUACUUCAUGCAUUUCCAUCAUUUUGAUUUCAUGAUGUGACAUGCCUUCAUGCAUGACAUUUUUUUGUGUUUUCAUAAUAGUGAACUUCAAAUUGCCUUUUUAAUUUAAAAAUAAAUUCAAACCUACCCUUAAAAUAUCCACAGGUACAGUGGGAAUUAUGUAUUGGGGGCAGAUAUUCUCAUUCACAUGCAAAAUUUCACUGGUUGUUUUUUUCUUUUCUUUUCUUUUUUGUUUCAGGACUUGAUUUCAUUGGGGUUGAGGGGUCAAAUUAUCCCCGAAAAUUUGAGACUGCUCCUGGUAUGAUACAUCCAGGCGCCUAACUGCCCCGGAUAUUUUUAUAGAUUUUUGUGAACUGAAAUAUCUGUGGAUAUGUCAUUUUUCUGUCUUUCUGCUGCUUCUUUCUGCAUUUUUCUCAUAUUCUAUGCCCACUUGUUCUUAUAACUUUGUUCGUUAAAUCAAUAUUUGAUAUUUAACAUACAACUGUGCUUUAUGCUGUGGGAAUGGAAACCCUGAUCUGUUGGCCAGAGCGUUUCCAUCUUAAUAUUCCUUAAUGCUUCCUCAACAUAGUUCUCGUUGUAGCUCUGACUGUACUUCCUGUAUAGGAAAGUAUCAAGUAGGGAUCUACACUCUUCGUUUCUACCUAGUUGAAUUCAACAGAGUGUACAGAGAAUAUUCUUGCAUAAAGGGCAUAGAUCAGAUAACCCCUUAUGUCCCUUCUAAGGCUAAGAUAUUAAGUGCAAACUCAUUUGGGUUCCAUUUAGCCAGGAUGGAAUGGGUGUCAAUGUGGAGAAAGAGUGGUAUCACCAGAGAGGAAGAGGAAUGUGGUUUGUAACUUGUCUAGAGAUUGGACUUUGGUUUUAAAGGGCAUUGUCAUUAUUGAGUGGUUUGGAAUUUCCUUGGUACACUUUUAAGACUUCCUGGGAAGACCAUUACAAUAAAUGUAUUUCCUGUAGGAAACAAGAUUUUUCAUUAUUAAAUGUUUAGAAGAAUUUCAGAUGGAUUUUGAAGGUAUUAGAAUACUUCUCUUCAGUGAAAUAGCUUAUGUGCUAGACAUUCGUUCUUGUAAGAACUUUCCUCCAUUUGGAGAAAAGACCUCAUUAUUCAUUAUGUACUGUUUUAAAGAAGAAAAUAAGGGCUUCCUUGUCCCUUCUUCAGAUAAGUUCUUACUGUGGUCUUUUGGUUGAGGGAAAGAAUAAUGGUUCUCAUAAAAAUUCUCACCCUUUAAGAAAGGGCAUUUUCUUAUUCUGAGGUUAUAUAUAUGUAUAAAGCAAGCAAAAUGGAAUGUGGAGGGUGAUUUCCCUGUAGACCUUUCCUUUAGAAACUGUAACUCAGCAUAUAACAUGAGGAGACUGUAUACCUCCAUCGUCUGUGAAAUGACCUUCACAGGUCUUAUUUCAUCUUUUGUAUGAGUAGGUUAGGAUAAUGUAGCUAUUGUUCAUAUUGGACUUUUCAAUCUCGUCUUCCAAAAAAAUAAAUAUAUAGCACUUUCCUUAUAGUUACUAGUUAAACCAAUAAGCUCAUGAAGUUGACUUCUGAGUAGGCAGUUUUUAUUCUGUCCAUUAUAUAAUAGCAGAUAGUUUUUAGUCUCCUCAGUGUGACUUUCAAACCUCCUCUUUGUCAUUGCCCUGUCACUAACCAUCAUAUGCCAACUAUUUGUAUUUCUCUAAUACUGCUGCUAUCUUUCUUCAGAUUGCCUGCAGAUUUUUUGUCUUAUACCAACCAAAUAAAUAGAUAUAGUUUGCAUGUUCUAGUUUAAAUCCUGCCAUUUUGUUGAAUUGGCUACUAAGUGAGAGUUGAUGGGCUUGAUACUACCUGAGCAUUCCAUCAGAAGUCAGCUUCUCCCCUCCCCCUCCCUGCUUCUCUUUCCUCUCCCUCCUUUCCCUCCCUCUCUCCUGUUAUAGUGUUACAGCUAUGUAACAAAAGCUGAAAGUAGCUAUAAAAUCAUAUUAUUAAAGCCCUGCUACUCUGAGGAGUCACCCUUUCUAAAGAGUCUUUCCCCAUCUCUGAAGCCUAAGAAUUGCUUCUGAUUUGUAAAUUCUGGUCAUACUUUCGACUAUAAAAAAUGUUAACUUGUUAGUAUUUUCUGUAUAUAUUGACUGACACUAAAACCUAUUAUCAUUUCCUUCUUUAUUCCCAGGUGCAUGGAGGACGGCAACAGAGGAGUGGGGAACUGAAGAUUGGAAUGAAGAUGUAGGUAUUCUCAGGUCAUUCCUCAUUCGUGCCUUCUAUCCCUAAGUGGUGUUUAGGGAUAGAAAAUGGGUAUGUUUCUACCCCUCAAAAUGCACCCUUAAGAUUCUGACCCAAAACUUUUACAUCCAAAAUAGUGUUCUGAGCCAGAACAUUUCACAUAUGUUAUAUGAAGGAGACUGGGCAUGAACAGGACUCUGGAACCACACUAUGGAAAGGGCAAGUGCACUUGUGUAAGUCCAAUAUCUGAUUGUCGGAUUUAUCCAAGGAAGAGAUGGUGGUUGGGUAGGGCACCAGAAAUAGAGUUAGGCAGGUAGUAAAUUGAGUAAUAGCUGCCAGUGGCACACGACUCUGCUUGAAGCCUUUCCAUUAUUUGGUAUGAAGUCCUGUAAUGGAUUGGCAAUGGUUACAGAGUCAGAGUUGUAGUAUCAAAUCCUCAAGCUUGCAAUCUGGUUGGUUCUGGUAGCCUUUUAAUUAUUUGAAGCCCAACUUCGUAAUUAUGAUUGAGAUGAAUAUGUGUAGACUUGGCCAAUCUGCCAGCUUGACUGAACUUGGAGACCUCAUAGUGCGUGGCAUACAAACAAGCUCUGUAAAUUCAUUAUUACCCAAGUAAAACAGUUUUGCCAAUUCCUGGUCAUAGUUAAGCUUUUGUUGUGAGUUAUGGUUUUCAAUGGUCUGGAUAAACUCUUAUUUUACCAUUUAGUAAUCUGUUUUCCUAUUUUUAUAUAUAGACAGGCAAGAUAGCUUUUGGGUUAAGUGGAAAUGACAUUUCAAAACUGUUUUAGUUGUUGUUUUAGUCCUAGGUUUUAAAAUUUCAGAUGCAUCAUUAUUAGAGGUUGAUUAUUUUCUGUUGUAACUGAGCUAGACUGCUGUGUGGACUUGGGCAAAUUCUAUUGCUUUUGAGAUUUGGCUUGUUCUGCUUAAGUACCUAUCAUAAUAGAAGACAGGAUGAAUUUCCUGUUUAUUAGAAGAGACAUUUUAAUAAGGAAAUAAACCAAAACAAUGCAAAUCAACUUUUAUAGAGCAGGAAGUGUAAUUUCCUUCAAUUACCUUUCUAAUUUUAGUACCUUAUGAAUGUAAAGACACUGUUAAGACAAAAAUUGCAUUAUAAUUAAAAUUAUCUCCAAAAGACCUUAUCUCACCAGCCCUUGGGCCUAUAUUGCUCAGAAGCAAAAAAAGUAACUUUUUUGUAUCUUUCUUGGCCAUGAUCUUCCUUUCAUUUGUAGAAGUGGGAGUGGGCAAGGGCAAUAGUAGAAGGUAAAUGUGGUUUGGGUAGAAGUGGGAGUGGGAACUCUAAUGGGAAGAUACAAAGGGACUUUUUCUCUUUAUGAUUAGCUUGCAUAUGAACCUGAGAGAUCAUGUGUGUAUGAUGAUGUGACUUCACUGUAUUUUAUUGGAUUCCUUGGUUCUCUCUUUGGAUAAAAUCAUUGACUAUAUAUUGAAGGGGUUUAAAGGUCAAUCCAUUCAAGAUUCCUCAGGGGUAGAUAGUUGUUUCUUCAUAGGGUUUUCCCUUGUUCUUGAUGUUGAAUUUGCUUCUCCUGUGCCAGAUUCUUCCAGUAGAUCCCCUGGCACCACGAGUGAUUAAUUCCUCUGUUUUCUAGCUUUCUGAGACCAAGAUCUUCACUGCCUCUAAUGUGUCUUCAGUGCCUCUGCCUGCGGAGAAUGUGACAAUCACUGCUGGUCAGAGGCAAGUGUGUGGUAAAAGUACCUUUUCCUAAAGAGAUCUGCUGAGGUAGCUGCAAGAAAGUGGCACCGCCCUUCACAAGCUCUCUGGUGUUGAGAAUAAUAAUAAUCACACUAGUUCCCUCUUCAGUUGAAUGGAAGUCCAUAUGUUUCCAUUUUAAAGCUGAUUUUCACUUGAAAUAACCCAUAAUUACAUAGAUCAACCUGUGUUGUCACCAGUAUCGACUGAUUGAAAUCUGGUUGGUUCUGGUAGCCUUUUAAUUAUUUGUAUGUAACUUGUCUUGAAGUAAGCCAGGGAAAGAAAAGCCAAGCUGAAAGUGAAAUGCUAUGUCCCCUACUAUUUAAUAGCUUUUUCUCUUGAUUUAUAAUAAUGAUCUUUGUCUGCUGAUCCCACUGAGAAGUUGGUUCCAUAUCCAUGGGUUCUGUGUCCAUGAAUUAAAUCAGCUAUAUAUCUAUAAAACUACUUAAUUUAGAAGGUUCCAAAGAAGUAUGAUAGGAAUCAGUAAGAAUAGGACACUAAAUAUGUAUAUUACACAUGUGCGCGCAUGCCCACACACACACACACACACACAUUUUUUUUUUGUGUGUGUGUGUGUGUGACACCAAAUAUAUUCUUCCACACUAGUGAUGCAGUUCUCCAACCAGGUGUUUAGCAGUGCAGUUCUGACACUGUCCUGGAGUUGGCACAGAUGCUAAUUUCAGGUUCAGUAGUUCAUGAGAAUGACUCAGGAAAGUGUUAAUUAUCGUUAACCUGUUUAUUAUGAAGGUACAAUUCAGGAAUAGCCAAAUAGAAGAAAUCCGUAGAACACAGUAUGUGUGGGUGCGGGCAUAUGAUUUUCCAUGUCCUCUGCAGGUAUCUGGAAGCUUGACAGAUCUCAUUAUUCUAGAGCUAUAAAUUGUAGACAUAAUUGAUUAAAUCAUUGGCCAUUGAUUAUUGGACUUGAUAGCCAAUUUCACUGCCUUGGAAAUGGGUUGGGUUGGGUUGGGAAGGGCUGAAUAUUCCAAUCCUCAGAUUUGGUCUUUCUAGUGACUCAGAUCCACCAUGGGUUCACCACAUUAGUAUAAACUCAGGUAUGGUUGAAACAAGCUUGUUGUGAAUAAGAAAAGACACAGUGAUGUAGGAAAUUUUUUUUUCUUUUUUUUUGGUCAGGAGUGGGAAUCAAUCCAAGACUAGGCACAUGCUGGGCACAUACUAUACCACUGAACUACACCCCCAGCUUCCUGUUUUUAUUAUAUCACUGAUAACUUUUGAAAUUUUAUAAAACUAGGGAAAACACCUCCAAAAGUCUCCAUUUGAAGAUACCAACAUUCUGGUAUAUGAUUCUUAUAUCUUGGAUAUUAUUAAUGACAAGUAUUUAGUAUUACAGUCACGAACAUACUUGUAGAUUUUGGGCCAAGUAUUGAGCUGCUAAUUAAUAUUUGAUAUUUCAUUAAAUUAAUAACUUUCACUAAAAUGAAAGCCAUUAUUAAUGGCACCUGGUGGAAUUUAGCUAAAUAAUGGCUCUCGUGCAUCAUUUAUUUUGGUAAAUUAAGCAUUUCAGGGCUUUAUAUUUUGAGUUCAUUCAAGAGCACAUCAUUAAGUGGCUUUGCUUUAAUCUAACCAUGAUCUGAAUCAGGUGUCAGAAAAUGCUAGAAAAUGUUCAGUCAUUAUUCAUCAAGAUCUUUCUCUCCCACUAGAAUUGACCUUGCUGUUCUCUUGGGGAAGACACCAUCUUCAAUGGAGAAUGAUUCAUCUAAUCUGGAUCCAUCUCAGGCUCCUUCUCUGGCCCAGCCUCUGGUGUUCAGUAAUUCGAAGCAGAGUGCCAUAUCACAGCCUGCUUCAGGGAACACAUUUUCUCAUCAUAGUAUGGUAAGUUUGAUUUAUCUUGAUCAAACCUUCCCACCAAUUCUACCAUGCUUACCCAGACAUUCCUUCUCCCAAAGGCUAAAAUUUUAAGAAUUCAGCUUUAAGGUCUUACUUGGAUUUAUUGUAUUUAUUUGUAGUACUGGGGAGGAGGAUCCAGGGGCACUUUAUACUGAGCUUCCCCAGCCCUUUUUAUUUUUAAUUUGGAGGCAGGGUCUCACUAAGUUGCUGAGUUUGGCUUUGAACUUGUGAUCUUCCAGACAUUGCCUCCCAAGACACUGGGAUACAGAGAGGCACAAAUGUAUUCUGCAAGAGGUUGAUUUUAUAGACAGAGAAGGGCUGAAAAAACAGAAAUAGGAUAAAAAGUCAUUUCAAAAUUACUUUCUUUGUGAGAUAAGACAGGGAGACAGAAAAAUAGAAAAAUAACCAAUUGGUUAGCAUCAGGUUACAUUUUUUGUGUGUGGAUUAAGACCGAGAAACUUUUAUUACUCACCUAUUUGAAAUUCAGCUGUUGGAACCAGCCUGUUUGGGAAAUUUAGCUGUUUUCUCUCCUAAUUUUUCAGAAAGUCAAGAAACAAUGUAAUUUCAGUUGGAGUUGGAACUUUUAUAUGUGUGACUCUUGAUUUUUUAGUCUGAUUGGUUAGAGUCUAGUGUAGAUUAGUCUAAAGCGGUGGUCUUCUGUGUUUAAGUUUCAAAGACAGGAUUUGUAACAAGGUUAGGCAUCCUCUUUGUUCUUUUAAGCAUCUUUGAGUGUGCAGAUGUUGAGUUGGGUACUAGAGGAUAGCUCUAGAACAAGCCUUAGCUUAUAACAAACUGAGUCAUCUUAAAAAUGAGUUAACAUAAUUUAUUGAAUACACAAUCGUGCUGAACAGUUUCUUAUUACUCCUGAAUAGAGAAAAUCAAUGGCAUCAACUUAAUAAAUUUUGACUCUUUCAGGCUGAGGCCGUGGCUUAGUGGUAGAGUGCUUGCCUUGUAUGUGUGAGGCACUGAGUUCCAUCCUCAGCACCACAUUAAAAUAAUUUUUUGACACUUUCACAAUCCUGAUUAAACUUUGGUGAGAGAUUGUAGUAGUUCCCCAUAUCUCUCUCUUUUUUUUUUUUUGUACCAGGGAUUUAAGUCAGGGGCACUCAACCACUGAGUCACAUCCCCAACCAUUUUCGUGUUUUAGAGACAGGGUCUCACUGAAUUGCUAAGUGCCUCACUAAGUUGCUAAGGCUAGCUUUGAAUUCUCGAUACGCCUUCCUCAGCCUCCUGAGCUGCUGGGAUUCCAGGUGCACGCCAUUCCCCACUUUUUGAUGAAGUAAAAUUAAAAUCGCCUUAUGUGGGGUUUUUUUUUUUUUUUUGAGAAUUUUUUUUUUAUAUUUAUUUUUUUAGUUUUCGGCGGACACAACGUCUUUAUUUGUAUGUGGUGCUGAGGAUCGAACCCAGCGCCGCGCGAAUGCCAGGCGAGCGCGCUACCGCUUGAGCCACAUCCCCAGCCCCCCCUUAUGUGUUUUUAUUUUAUUUUUUUUUUUAUUUAUUUAUUUUUUUUAUUUUUAUUUUUUUUUUUUUUUUAAAGAGAGAGUGAGAGGGAGAGAGAGAAUUUUUAAUAUUUAUUUUUUAGUUCUCGGCGGACACAGCAUCUUUGUUGGUAUGUGGUGCUGAGGAUCGAACCCGGGCCGCACGCAUGCCAGGCGAGCGCGCUACCGCUUGAGCCACAUCCCCAGCCACCCUUAUGUGUUUUUAUAAACCAUACAUUUGUAUAUUAGGUUUCUAAAAUCUAGGGUUUUUCCAUAUCACAACUUGUUAGCUGUGUUUCCCCUUGUCUGAAAAUGGGAAUAAGAGUGCUUGUUCUUCCUGUCUUGGGGGGGCCUCAGGAAGAUAAUUAAACUAAUUGAUACCAAUUAUACAAAUGUGGCAAUGGUAGUGGCAUUUUAAAUAACCUAUCAUGCAUAGUACACACAACUUCUUGAUUUACAACAUUUAAAAAAAUAAAGGAAGCCAGAUACAGUUGUGCAUGCUUGUAAUCCCAGGGACUUGGGAGGCUGAGGCAAGAGGAUCACGAGUUCAAAGCUAGCCUCAGCAAAAAGUGAGGCGUUGAACAACUCAGUGAGACCUUGUGUCUAAAUAAAAUACAAAAUCAGGCUGGAGAUGGCUUAGUGGUUGCAUGCCCCUGAGUUCAAUCUCUGGGACAUAAAUAAAUACGUAAGUAAAGGAGGGCUGGGGAAAUAGCUCAGUUGGAGAGUGCUUGCCUCAUAUGCACAAGGCCCUGGGUUCGAUCCUUAGAGCCACAAAAUAUUAUUUUAUUUAUUAUAAUUUAAACAAAGAUAAUUACAAGAACCAAUUAUAGUCAAUAAAUCCUGUUACUCCUUUUUUUAAAAAAAUUUUUUUGUAGUUGGAGAUAGCAUGCUUUUAUUUUAUUGUCAUUUUUAUGUGGUGCUAAGAAUUGAACCCAUUGCCUCACACAUGCUAGGCAGGUGCUCUGCCACUGGGCUACAGCCUCAGCUCCCUAAUUUACUCCUUUUUUUUUCCCUUUCUUUGUUUUUUUGGUGGAGGGUUACUAAGAGUUAUGAGAGGUAAGCAGACCUUUUAUGUGAAGAUAAUUUUAUUUUUCCAGUUUUAUUAAUUAUUUUAAUUUAGAAAACUGUUGAGGUAGCUACUAAUCCAGAACUGUCUCAGUUUUUAACUAUUGUCCUUGAAGUUUUUUUGUUUUAAAAUUUUUUCUUUUGUGUUAAUUCAGAAGUGGAGGUGGUUGUUUUGCCACAAAGGUAACAGGUGAGGAAAAUAUUGGGGUUGGAAAGAAAAUAGAAUGCUGGUGGUAAGGUGUGAUGAAAAUCAGGAAGUGUUACAAAUCCCUAAAAUACAUGACUAGAUCCGUGGUCAAGUGAUGUAUGCCUCUUUUAACUGCCCUCUUAAUGUUUGGAAUUGUGAAUAUGCACGAAAAAAUCAAAAUUUUAAUAUUUUAAAUAUUUUAAAAUUCAUUGUGUCAUAUUCUAUGCAUAGGAUUUCUGUAAAAACUUAUAAAAUUUUAUAGGACACCUACAAAAUUGCCCAAUUUAAGUGGAGGUUUUGUUGUUGAUGCUAGUCCCCCCCCAAAAAAAAUAUUGGAAAUUGAACCUAGGGGUGCUCAGACAUUGAGUUCAUCCCAACCCUUUUUAUAUUUUUUAUUUUGAGACAGGGUCUCACUAAGUUGCUGAGGCUAGCUUUGAACUUGCGGUCCUCCUGCCUCAGUCUCCAGAGUCACUGGGAUUAUAGGUGUGUACUACCAUGCCUGGCUUCAAUAUAAUUUUUUUAAAAUUUUUUUAAUAUUUGCUUUUUGUAGUUGUAGUUGGACACAGUACUUUAUUUAUUUGUUUUUAUGUGGUGCUGAGGAUCGAACCCAGGGCCUUGCACUUGUGAGGCGAGCACUCUACCACUAAGCCACAACCCCAGCCCUCAAUAUUUAAAUUUUUAUAGGAAUAUCAAAAAGAUGUUUUUAGUAAACUUCCAUGUUUCCUUAACAUUCUAUUUAAUGUGUGCCGAUAGGUGAACUAAAUAUAAAUAGUAUUUUGUUAUUCUCAUUACCUUUAUUUAAUCAAUAUUAUUUAAUGUAACUUUUUUCAUUGAGCAUAAUAUUAGAGAAUUGAUUUCCUUUAAUAUUUAUUAGAUCUAGAUAAAGGAGUUUGUAUUAUGUAUAAAAUACAAUGGACAUUAUGUAAUUUUUCUGUCUUUAAUUUUUUGUGCUUGGCAGAAUAUUUUAGUUGCAUUAGAUCAUCUGUGUCACAGUCCCUCACUUUAAACUAGACUUCUCAGAUUAUUUUGUUUUGGUAAUGGGGAUUGAACCCAGGGACGCUUAAAACCAGUGAGCCACAUCCCCAGCCCUCCCCCAAGCCCCCCCUUUUUAAACAAGGUUUUGUUAAGUUGCUUGGGGCAUCAACCUCCUGCGAUACUGAGAUUAUAAGUGUGUGCCAUUGUGCUUGGCUCAAGUUUUUGUUUGAAUAAUCUUGGGAUAUAGCUCAAAGUGGGAAGGAAAAAACCUUACCUUGAGUUGAAUAGACAGGUGUUCUAUAAGAAAGCAUUGCUGAUGAUGACAUGCUACAUUUAAACAAGUACCUGAGUAGGACAAGAUUAAUUCUCCUUGAAGUUUUUUGUUUGUUUAUAUGUUUGUUUUUUGAGGCUAGUCAAGGUCAUGAGGUUGAUCUUUGGACUUGGCUGAUAGUUUUCCUUGGUAAUGGGGAACAGAGAAAUCCCCAAAAGUGUUAGAGUAAAAUUUUGCUUAGUUAUCAUGCAGUGAUUCUAUAAAAAUAAUCAAGCCAUUGAGUUGUCAAUUUUAUCUAGUGCAGAAGUUGGGAUGGCCCUUUAAUUUCUCUUUGCCUAUAAGCUAGUUAUGAGCAGCAUUCAGUUUUUUGUUUCUUUUGGAUUGUUUAGUGGUAGGGGCAAGGAUAUAAUGACAAAAGUAAAAUUUUAUGUCACUUUUGUAUUAAUUUAAUAAUCAAGUAUUAAUUUAUGUAAAAAUCUUGAAGGGGGGGAACUCUCCAGUUAUCAAGGCAUUAUCCCUAAGAUGGAGAAAGUGAUGGUGAUUAUAAGUUUUUAAGGGCUAUCAUCUUUUAAAAAUUUAGAUUUGUUGAAUUAAUAUAUAAAAAAAUAAAAUUAUGCAUAUUAGUGGGGGUUUUAAUAUGUAUUGCUCUAGUUUUCUUGAGCCCUGUGUUCCAUGUACAUGUUAAGUACAGAUAUAUUAUUUGUUAAAUCCUGAUUAAACUUUAUGAAGUGUACUACUACUAUUUAUAUUUUCAGAUGAGGAAACUGAGGCAAAGAGACUUUAAAAUAAAUUUUCUGUGGUUGCAUACCCAGAAUUCGAAUCGGAUUGUCUGACUCUGAAUCUUAAACUCAAUGGACUAUGCUAUAUACUCAGUCUUAUAGCAUUCUGUUUUGAAAUGGGGUGUCAGAGUGUUGCCCAGGUUUUUCUUGAAUUCCUGAAUCUGUGAUCCUCCCAAGUAGCUGGGACUGUAGACAUGUGCCAUGGGCCCGGCUUAGUAGCAUUCUUCAUUUGUUUGAUUCAUACUAGCUUUCAAACUGGAUAAGUGUCUUUCUUUAGCAGACAAGUUCCAGGCUGUAAAUCUCUCUGUUGAUCUCCAGGUGAGCAUGUUAGGAAAAGGAUUUGGUGAUGUCGGUGAAGCUAAAGGUGGCAGUACUACAGGCUCUCAGUUCUUGGAGCAGUUCAAGACUGCUCAGGCCCUGGCUCAGCUGGCAGCUCAGCAUUCUCAAUCUGGAAGCACCACCACCUCCUCUUGGGACAUGGCCUCAACGACACAGUCCCCAUCACUGGUGCAGUAUGGUAAGAAGAUGUGAAGUGACUUGAAUCCCUUAUGUGUUGGACUAUUACUGUGAAGAAGCUGGUGAGGGGAGUGGAAAAUGUAUCCCGAUGAGAGGGGUAGCUCUCUCUGGUUUUGUCAAAGAGUCUGAGUUCAGAAAGUUGGGAAAUAAUAAAAAUUUGAAGCUAUGUGUCUCUGUCAUUAAAUUUUUUUGUUUGCAUAGGAUUUUUUUAAAUUACUUUUAAGUUUAUGUGUUUGAGAAUGUGUUGCCUUUGGGCUCAUGGAGUUGGCCAUUUAAGACCUUAUACUUUAAAUUCGAGCAAUUCAUGGAUUCCUGUUUUGCACAGGCAUAGUAAUAGUAUUGAUUUGAUUAGGCUAUUUUUAAGAAUGGAUAAGAUCAGUGAUUGUUGCCUAUAGAAAUGAAAUGAGAUUCAUUCCUAAAAGAAAACCUGUCUAUAUGAGUUUCUGGUCUUUGAGGGUCUGGUUCAUGGCAUUAGUGCAAGACAGUAGCCUUUCCUUGAAAUGUAUUGGAACCUUGAACCUCACACCUGUUGGGUUUCCUUUUGCAGAUUUAAAGAACCCAAAUGAUUCUACAGUACACAGCCCCUUUACAAAGCGCCAGGCUUUCACCCCAUCUUCAACCAUGAUGGAGGUGUUCCUUCAGGAGAAGCCACCUGCAGUGGCCACCUCCACCGCUGCACCUCCACCCCCCUCUUCUCCUCUGCCAAGUAAAUCCACCUCGGCUCCACAGAUGUCUCCUGGGUCUUCAGACAACCAAUCCUCCAGCCCUCAGCCAGCUCAGCAGAAACUGAAACAGCAAAAGAAAAAAGCCUCACUGACUUCUAAGGUAUUUGAACUUUUUAGGUAGCUGUUACUGCAAGGAAGUAUUGGAUUUGUAAAUUAGGUUGAUAUGGGUUAACUUUGGAAAUUUGAAAUCAAAGGGAAUAUUUACUAACAUUUCCAUAGUAAGAUUGUAUUGAACCAUUGUAUUUUCUUCUCCUUUACCCUUUUUUAUAGAUUCCUGCUCUGGCUGUGGAGAUGCCUGGCUCAGCAGAUAUCUCAGGGCUAAAUCUGCAGUUUGGGGCAUUGCAGUUUGGGUCAGAGCCUGUCCUUUCUGAUUAUGAGUCCACCCCCACCACGAGCGCCUCUUCAAGCCAGGCUCCAAGUAGCCUAUAUACCAGCACGGCCAGGUAGUAUAAACAUUAGUCUUUUGCUAAUUGUUCUAAAUCUCUUGCUGAGACACUGUUCUUUUAACUGGCUGGGAGAAAAGUAAUGAAUUACAGCAUUUUGUUGAAUACUUUAAAAUGGCGUUAUUAGGGCUGGGCUCAGUGGCAUAUGCCUAUAAUCCCAGAAACUUGGGAGGCUGAGGAAGGAGAAUUGCAAAUUCGUGGGCAGCUUCAACAAUUUAAUGAGGCCCUUAGCAACUUAGCAAGAUCCUAUUUCAAAAUAAAUUAUGAAAUAAAAGAGCUGGGGAUUAAUGGUAAAGUGCUUCUGUGUUUAAUCCCAACUACAAAAAUAACAACAAACAUUUUCACUAGGAUUAUCUGUAACUUUAAGCACAUGGAAACCUGGGAUGGUGGUGCACACCUGUAAUCCCAGCAGUUUGGGAGACUGAGGCAGGAGGAUUGCAAGUUCAAAGCCAGCCUCAACAACUUAGUGAGGCCCUAAGCAACUCUGCGAGAUCUUGCCUAUAAAUGAAAUAAAGGCAUAUUAAAAAAAGGCUGGGGAUGGGUUUUAGUUGUUAAGUGCCCCUGGAUUCAAUCCCUGGUAUAAAAAACAAAAACAGGAAAAUAAUGGUGCUUGGGUACUUGAAGAAUGUUGCUCAUUUUUUGAAAGACAGAACAGGACCUCUAACAUUUAAAGUACCUGGACCUAUAUCACAGCUGAAAGUGCUUUUGGCAUUCCUUUUUAGCCCUUUGGUGUGAGAUUAUGCCUGUGAAGUGUAAAACUUUGAACUCCUAGAAAGGAGAGAAUUGUAAGGAACCUUAAAAGGAACCUUUUAUACCUCCUCUGCUCAACAUCAAGUAAGGUUGUCUUUAGCAAUAGAAAGUCCUGAGGAAUUUCAGGGAGUAGAUUUUUUUAUAUUUGGAAUUUAAAAAUACAAGUAUCUGGCCCUAAUUUAGGUCUGUGGGGUCAUAAUUGCCAAUUAAUACAUGCAAAUGUUUUUAAAAAUUCUUCUCAAAGAAUUGUACCAGUGAUCUUAAAUUUAAUAAAAUCAUUGGAGUCUAAAGCUCAAAAUUCCUUAAAAUGAGUUUGAGCUAAAACAAAGUCUUCCUGUGCUGAGGGCUCACAUUGUGAUUUAUAGAAGGGACCAAGAGUACUAUAUCCUUUCCACUGACCUUUGAUUUCUUUUUCUUAAAACAUAAAAUGUGAGGGAAGGAAGAGGCUUUUCUCUGCUUCAAUUUGAAGAUGUUUCUAAGCUUUAUGCUUAAUUCAAAUCCCUGGCACAUUAGAAUGUGGGAUCUACUGUUGUCAGGAGAAAAUUGUGGUAGUGUUUUUGUUGUUGGAAAUUUUCUUUUGAUGUUAGUUUAUUCCACUCUUAGGUCUCUGCCAUUUCCUUAGUAUCUGUUCUCUUUCCUUUCACUGAGAUUUUUCCUCUUUUCAUUUCCCACAGUGAAUCUUCAUCUACAAUUUCAUCUAACCAGAGUCAGGAGUCUGGUUAUCAGAGUGGCCCAAUUCAGUCGACAACCUAUACCUCCCAAAAUAAUGCUCAGGCCCCUCUAUAUGAGCAAAGAUCCACCCAGACUCGGCGGUACCCCAGUUCCAUCUCUUCAUCACCCCAAAAGGACCUGACUCAGGCAAAGGUAGUAGCCGCAUGAGCCCCUGGAUAGAGGUUAGAGAAACAGUGGGCAAAAGUCUCUUAAGUAUUAAAUAUUAGCAUUUUACUUCUCAGAAAGUGGUGCCAAGAAAUCUUGGAAGUGCUGAUUGAGAAGCUGCAAACACAUUUCUGUGAUUGGUAAAAUAAAAGUUUUCAGCAAUCCUGGAGACUCAGUCAGAAAACCAUUUUCUUUGCAGUAAAGAUUGUCUCUAGUAGAAUCAAAUAUCUGUCCUUUCUUGGAACAUCUAAUUGCUAGAUUUUUGGGUACAUAUCAGUAGAUCUUACUUUGCUUUUUCUUGGCUUUGUGAGAAGGACAGCAUAUGCUAGAGGUGGUAUUGAGUGACUGUCUUGUGCAGCCAGCAGGAUAAAUGGUUUGGCUGAACUGUCAUUCCCACAUCCUCCCACAAAGAUCAUUGGGUUUGGACUUUGGGCCUUUUAUGUACCUGUUUUGGGGUUGGGGUAUCUUCACCUGUUUGGGGGUUGUCUUCUGUUGCUGUUAGCCACACAGGCUUAGUAUAUCUGGUUUUUAUUGUUUUUAAUUUUUGUUUUGUUUGUUUGUGUAGUCUUGUAUUAAUCCUUUAGUUAACUAGCAGAAUUUCUCCCAAAUGUUUGUUAACUAGAAUUAAGCUGAGUUAGUAUUAAACUUCCCCCAUUCACAUGAGUUUGUCUGUUCUUGCUCCUCUGUUUUCUUGCUCCAGAAUGGCUUCAGUUCUGUGCAGGGCACGCAGUUACAGACCACGCAAUCUGUUGAAGGUGAGUAUUCUCCAGGCUUUUUAUUCUCAGUUGUUUUUUUCUUUCUCUUAAUAUUUUUGUAUUUCUUAAAAGUGAAAAGAGCUCUGGCACGAGGACUGGUUAGUCUUAAUUCUACUUUGCUGCUUAAUCUCCAGCCUUCCUAAGUUUCAGGUUCUCUGUCUUAAAAUGGUAACCAUUUUAUUGGUUCCCGUCACUGGACAAAUGAAAUUCACAUGCAAAGUGCCUAGAAUUAAAAAAGAUUAUACCAUUAUUAAAUAACUCAUACUGUUGUCUUUGGGGCAGCAUAGGACUGUAGUGAUUCUUCACGUUAGACAUUUUCUUUUCUUCUGGUGAGAUGGAUUCUUUUAUUUCUAGGUGCUACAGGCUCUGCAGUGAAAUCUGACUCACCUUCCACUUCUAGCAUCCCCCCUCUCAAUGAAACGGUAUCUGCAGCUUCCUUACUGACAACAACCAAUCAGCACUCAUCCUCCUUGGGUGGCUUGAGCCACAGUGAGGAAAUUCCAAAUACCACCACCACGCAACACAGCAGGUGAUUUGGGGUGAGGAUGGAGUUUGGGGUGAGGAUGGAGCUCUCUGGUUCUUUUUCUUUCUAACUGGCAAAGACCACAUUAGCCCCACUUUUGGGUAAAUGGGUGACCUGAAAACUGUGAGAGAUAAAGACAAAGAGACUUAUUUUAUUUUUUCCUUUCAGCAUCUACUUUUGUUUUAACUGUUGCUUACUAUCCCUGGCUGGCUCUUGUGCUUAUUACCAUUUUCUCAAGACUUUCUUGUUCCUAUGUUCUACCUUAUUUUCUUGCUUGUGUUCUUGAUUAAAGCUCCAGGCCAGGUGGCCAUAGCACUGUUGUUGAUGGCACCCUCUUUCCUUACAGCACGUUAUCUACACAGCAGAAUACCCUUUCAUCAUCAACAUCUUCUGGACGCACUUCGACAUCCACUCUUUUGGUAAGUAUGAUGCUGAAAGGAAGUGUGGUUCUUAAGCUUUUCUUAAACUAGCCAACCCUAAGAUUCUGCCAAGAGGGAAUUCUUGAUCAUUUCUUCAUGAGAUGAUAAAACUCAUUGAAUUGAGGUUGCAGAGAAACGAAUAAGGGGUUGUUGGGAAGCCAAAAGAAGCCAAAGAAUCCAGAAAUAAUGCAGAGCUAUGAAUCAUUCCUUAAAGCCUGGAAGGGACACCCUCCAUCCCCCAUUCCUGUGUUGAAGAUAAGGUAUAUGUUACAAAAGAACAUACCUUUCUAGGGGCUAGUGGUAUAGCUCAGUGGUACUGUAUGGGUUAGUGUGCAUGAAGCCCUUGGUUUAAUCCCCAGCACCAAAAAAAAGGAGAGUGGGGUGGAAAGAAAAGGACAAAUCUUGCUAACUGGUAGAGCUUGUGUUUCUCUUUCCUUAAAACACAACAUCAAGUUUAAAGUCAGCUGUAUGUUAUUCUAGCCCAUGAACUAGAGAAGAAAAGUGUGUGAGAGAAGGCUAUGAUACAUUUUUCAGAUUUCAACUUUAUUUGACAGGUCAACCAGUGUUGGUCUCCACCAACACUGGAGUUGUCACCACCCACUUUGCUGUCUUUCUUAACAGGAUGAUGGUAUAUGAGUCUGUAUUAAUAACCAUCCUUGUCACAUGAGUCUUUAGAAACAUGCAGCUAGAGAGUUUUUGUACCUUGGUAGAGGAGACUCUGUUAUUAUGCCCUGACCUUUUUAAUUGGGAAGUUGUUGUGAUGAUCAUAUUCAAGAGAAUAGAUUGUUUAUCAUUCCUAACCUAUAUUGCUAAUUGGUGCUUCCUUCAUCUCUCUUCCAUUGCUCCUCCCUUUUGAAGCACACAAGUGUGGAGAGUGAGGCGAAUCUCCAUUCUUCCUCCAGCACUUUCUCUACCACGUCCAGCACAGUCUCUGCACCUCCCCCAGUGGUCAGUGUCUCUUCCAGUCUCAACAGUGGCAGCAGUCUGGGCCUUAGCCUAGGCAGCAACUCCACUGUCACAGCCUCAACUCGAAGCUCGGUUGCUACAACUUCAGGUACCUUUGCAUUAGCUGCAUGGCAUUCCUCUAGGAUGGAGGGAAUCAAUAAUUGUGUGAUAGCAUAAAAAUGUUUUUUCUCUUUUAGGAAAAGCUCCUCCCAACCUUCCUCCUGGGGUCCCGCCAUUGUUGCCUAAUCCAUAUAUUAUGGCUCCAGGGCUGUUACAUGCCUACCCAGUAAGUAGGAUUGAAGGGUUUGUUCUAAAAGGUGGUGUUGGUGGGACUAUUCUUUAUAGUUCUGGCUUCAGGCAGUAGACUGUAAUUACAAUACAGAAAAAAAUGCCACAUAUAAACAAAUAGGUUUCUUGGGUGGGGGUGAGUAGUAGGGAUUGGACUUGGGAGCAACCAACCACUGAGCCACAUCCCCAGCCCUAUUUUUUUUUUAAUAUUUAUUUUUUAGUUGCAUUUGGACACAGUACCUUUUAUUUUAUUUAUUUAUUUUCAUGUGGUGCCAAGGAUCGAACCCCAGGGCCUCACACGUACUCACCACUGAGCCACAACCCCAGCCCUAUUUUUUAUUUUAUUUAGAGACAGGUCUCACUGAGUUGCUUAGUGCCUGGCAUUUCUGAGGCUUGCUUUGAACUUGGGAUCCUCCUAUCUCAGCCUCCUGAGCUGCUGCGAUUACAGGCAUGCGCCAUUGCACCUAGCACAAGUAGGUUUUGAAUCUUUGUAGCUUUGGAAAAAACAAUCAUUUUUAGAGAGGAAAGACUAAACUUGGGCAAGACCCUCUAUUGUGUAUUUGCUCUGUGUGAAAUAGAAAUUCUAGGCCUCAGAUGCCAAAGGCUAAAACGUUCAUCUGGAAUUCCUUUCAGUUUCUUGGAGAAUUGUUUUUUGUAGAUGAACUGAUUUCCUUACUCUGGGGAUCUUUGCUGCCUCUAACCUGGUCAGAAGAGAGUUCCCCAGCUCACUGUGGAAUUGUCUUGAGAAUAAAUGGCUGACAUUGUUGACUUUUUUUCUCAGGUAUAUCUUCUGUUACCUCCAGGUAUUCAGUACCUCUUAAGAUGGAGGGUAUGAAAAUUCUAUUAAAAGACAACUGUACUUCCCCUGAAAGUGGAAGUCUAGAUAAACAUCAUACAGACAAGAUUGUCCAAAUAACACUGUUGGACAUUGUUUAACAACACUGCUUUAUCUUGAAAUUGGGAGAAAACAAGAGUAAAAUCUGAAUCUUUCAUGGAGAAAAUAAAUUUUAAACCAGAUGUAUAGAUUAGAGAGUAAAGGCAGGAAGAUUCCAUUCAUAGAAUAGAGAGAACAGAUAGCUGUUCAUAUACUUGUGUCUAUUGUACUGCUUCCCAGAAAUGGUCUAGAUCAAUCAGUAGUAAGUAGCUCAACGAAAGUUUCAAGAUCUUUCAUUAAUCCUUUAAUCUCUACUUUUACUUUCCCUUUAAGUAAAUUGAAGGAAAUAAAUCUUUUUUUUUUUUCCUUUUGGUAGUAUUGGGGAUUGAGCCCAGGGCCUUGUUCGUGCUAAGGAAGCACUGAACUACAUCCCUAGCCCAAGGAAAUAAUCUAUGUCCUGUUCAAAGAAGGACGGUGAAUAAUGUAUUGAAUUAUCUUGCUUUUUAGCUCCUUGGGUUUUUUGUUUUUAAUCAUUUAUGACCAUUUCUCAUUAAUGUCACAUGCCUUUGUCUUUCAGCCACAAAUGUAUGGUUAUGAUGACUUGCAGAUGCUUCAGACAAGAUUUCCAUUGGUAAGUAUGUGGAAGGGAACUCUGGUAAAGGAGGUGAUCUAAAAAUUAGUUUUGUUUUUUUUUUUUGGUGCUUGGGAUCAAACCUAGGUUCUCACAUAUGCUAAAGCACAUGCUAUUACUGAGCUACACCCCCAGCCCAAGUGGACUACUACAACUAUACAUUUUCUACCAAUGUCAUAUCUUGUUUUUUAAUAUUUUGUGUCAUUAGAGAUUCAACUCAGGAGCUAGUGCACGCCAGGCAAGCACUUUACCAUUUAGGUAUACCCCACUCCCCAGAGAUGUGAAAUCUUUGAAGUAAACAGAUUUUAACCUACUCUGUAGCCUAAUAAAGUACUCAGGAGCUCUCAAGAUGCUUUCAAGAUGCUUUCUAUAUGUCUCAAACACUUAAAAUUACAGAAAAAAAAAUAUGUUUUUCAAGAUAAGUUUGGCAUAUGCUUUUAGAGAUGAUGUGUGGAGGUUGAAAAUAUUAUUGGUCCUGAUGGAACUUUAGCAGGCAUAUCCGUAGACCUUGCCUGGCUCUGCUUAUGGCCAGGCAGGGGGGACAGUAUAUGCAAGAAUAAUAUGGAGUUUAUGCAAACUCAAACCAGCUUCUUCGGUAGCUGGGUAAAUCGCAGUACUCCCGACAUUUUUGUGCUUCUCACCUGUGGUUUUCAUGCUGGAGAAUGAAUAGCAUUGAGUCUGUGCUCUUUUGUUACUCGGUUCUAGGAUUACUACAGCAUCCCGUUUCCCACGCCCACCACUCCGUUGACCGGGAGGGAUGGUAGCCUGGCCAGCAACCCUUAUUCUGGUAUGACUGGGACGGGGCCAAAUAAAGGGAGAGGGAGAUUGUAUUGGGAUGAAUGGCAAAACCCUGCUUAAUAGCAAGAAAGGACCUGGUUCUCACCUUACAUGUCUCUGGUAGAAGUUUAAAAUGGACGUGAUGAAUUGGUUGGUAGAUUCACAGUCCUGUUAAAGAUGAGCGUUUGGCAGCUUUUUUCCCUUUCCAUCUCACUUGUCUGUGAUUUCUAAAUCCUUCUCUCUCUCUCUCUCACACACACACACACACAUCUUACCUAAAAACAUUUUUUUCCCCUUUGGUUCUGGGGAUUGAACCUAGGGUCUCACAUCUAUACUAAGCCUGUGCUCCAUCUUCUGCCCCUCCAGAUGACAUUAUAACUUAGGUUUUUCAGCUUGUUCCAGAAAGUAGUGGUUGAACUGGUCUUCUCUGCUUCUGUACAUUGCUCACAGUGGCAGUCUCAUUGUCUUGCUAGACCUUCUUUUUUGGCCUGACUUUCUUGGCAUCCUCCUUGAUCAUUUUUUCUUAUCUGUCUCUGUCCCUUCAAGUGUAGCAUGGAGUGUUUCCCAUGGAAGAAAAUAGGGGCUGGGAGUGAAAGAAUACAAGAAGGUAGAGAAAUAAUGUAGGAACUUUUUCCUGGGAUCUUCUUUUUGCUAUAGCAAAUAUACUCAGCAAUAGUCUUUAACUGGCACUGUAGUCUAUACUCAACUAUAGUUUAUACUCAACAACAGUCUUAACUGGCACUAUGCUAAAUGUAUUCUGAGCAAUGCUGAAUGGAGCUUCAAAGAAAUAUAAUUUAAGGAAUUGAAUUUUAAAAGUCUUUGAACAGGAUCUCUUGGAAUCAUGUGAAACCAAGAGGUGACUUGUGUUGCAGUGAAAGAAACGGGUACAUUUAGCUUCUUCUGUCACAGGUGACCUCACAAAGUUCGGUCGUGGGGAUGCCUCCUCCCCAGCCCCGGCCACAACCUUGGCCCAACCCCAACAGAACCAGACGCAGACUCACCACACCACGCAGCAGACAUUCCUGAACCCGGCGCUGCCUCCUGGCUACAGUUACACCAGCCUGCCAUACUACACAGGGGUCCCGGGCCUCCCCAGCACCUUCCAGUAUGGGCCUGCUGUGUUCCCUGUGAGUGCCUAGCCUUGGUCUCCUUGUGGUGAAGGCUUCUAUCCCUGACACUAUCCUAGCUGUGCUUUCAAAGCUAGAUGAGUCUAGUAAUGAAUGAGGGAGGAACAGUUUCCACAUUGGGCUUUCUUCUGGCCUGGGAAGGGGGAGUGGGAUUGGAAUUGGUUGAAUUAUAAUAGGGAUUAACUUUUUCUAGAAUUAGCCAGAGGGGAAUGUGAUACCAUACAGCUUUGCUUUCCUCAGAUGGCCAUGUAUUCCCUGAUAGCACUCCCCCUUUUCCUUCCUUCAAAUUGUCUCUUGAUUUCAAAGGUAGAUUAUGGAAAUAUUAGUAAGGAUCUUAUUUCACUAUUCAAAUUAUGGCCAGCCUAAAUCAGGAUUCAUAGCCACCUGAACACCUGGGCCCUGGAGUAGGACAGGUGAAACUGAUGGUGCAUGCUGCCAUUUCACUGCAGUUCUGGCCCUUUUGCUCUUCAGGUGGCUCCUACCUCUUCCAAGCAGCAUGGUGUGAAUGUCAGUGUGAAUGCAUCAGCCACCCCUUUCCAACAGCCGAGUGGAUAUGGAUCUCAUGGAUACAAUACUGGUAAGCUCCCCGUGGCCCUGGUUCAGUGUCUCUGUGAGGUGUUACUGGGUUGGUGAGGGUGUUCUGCUCUCUACAUAUGAUUAUUGAUGCUUGGCUGAAUUGGAUAUCUGGGAGCAUCAUCAGCAGAGGCUCUUGACUCUAGGAAAUGCUGUUACUACACAUGAUUAGAAUGCUCAGGGGCAUUUUUGGCCGCUAAAAUAUGUUGUCUGGCCUAAACUUUGGGUUAAAAGGAGGACAGGGCCCUAAGAUUUUGCUGAGAUAUCAGUGGAGGCAAGUGUUGUGGCACUGUAUAAAAGAGGAUAUAUUCACUGAAAAGAAAGGAUAAAUGCUUUCAUAGCUAACAAUAUGAUUAAUAGGCUUGGCUUAAGUCUUUUUGUAGUACUAUUAUUAUUACUAUUCCCCUUUCAUUCCUAACUAGAAGACCUAAGAUAUGGAGAGAGAGGAUAGGCAUGACCACGCAGUAGAGACAGAAUUAGACUGGGAGGUUCCUUCGUUUGUAUGACUGGUCUUCUUAAAAAGCCUAUUUGCAUAUCUGAUGGCAGGGAGAGAAUUGUAGGAAUCCUCUGGAUAAGUAAUGACCUAAAAGAUACUUAGCUUAUCACUUAUUUCCAUAUCUGACAUCCAUGCUCCACUUUUGAAGGUGGAAGUGGAGGAGACAUUGAAUAAAACCGUUUCAUCUACAUUUUUCAGUGACUUACAGGCAUAUAUGAGGAGGAGCCUAUUGUAGUUGCUAGGGGUUGGGGUUGAGGAUUGUCUUUUCAAAGCUCAGUUAGUUUCAAGGUGAUUUGGAUGGAGCAACAUCUGUGUGGGCUCCAGAUGAGUAAAUUGCUCAACAUUUUAUUUAUUUAUUUUUUGGUACUGAGGAUUGAACCCAGAGACAUUUUACCACUGAGCUAUAUCCCCAGUCCUUUUUAUUUUUUGAGAUAGGGUCUCACUAAGUUGCUGAGACUGGCCUCAAACUUAGAAGCCUCCUGCUUCAGCCUCCUAAAUUGCUAGGAUUAGAGACAUGCAUCAAUGCACCCAGCUCAAAAUUUUCAGUAAUUGGGAAACUGUCUUAAGCUGAGCACAGAAGGUAAUAAAGACUAGUUUUAGGAAUUAAUAGCCAGGUGGAGCUUUGGACUGUGCCUUAUGACUUAAGAGUGGGUCAUAAUAAAUUUUAAAAAUCCUGAGAAAAGCCCCAUUAAGAUUUACUACCCAGGUUCUUUGGGGCCACUGCUGUCACUGAGUAAGGUCUUGUUGAUGAUGGGAGGAUUAUAAGCCUUUUGACUUGGCCCCAUUCCAGGAACAUUAAAAUUAAACUUCAGCUGGUCCAGGUAUGAGAAUUUUCAGAGGUAAGGUAGGUGGUUGAUAAUGUAAGACAGUUGGCAUAUCUGAUUCUGGAAAUCCUAGCUUCUUACCUCCCUUAAUAUUUCAGAAACCUGUUAGUUCUUUGAGAACCCCCAAUUCCCAACCCCACAGAGGGCUCUUGUCAUUCCAUUCCUCAUCAACCUCUAAAUUCAUGUAUUUUUAUGUAUUUGAUUCCUUUUAGGAAGAAAAUAUCCACCCCCUUACAAGCAUUUCUGGACGGCUGAGAGCUAAUUUGGCCCAAGGCUGGGGGCUGUGUUUUGUGUGUGUGUAUAAAUUUGCACUGAAGUCUUGUUUCAGAAACCAGACCACUGAGGAGAGCCUGCUGAGCUGAGGCCAUGGCCUGCGUGGCUUGGGGAAAUGAGUUGGUGGAUAUCUUCUGGGCUUUUGAACUUGCCCCCUCCCCAUUUCCCUCUCCCCCUUGUGUCUGACCCUGUCUUACCCAUUUCGAGUUCAAGCGGUGCAGCACCUCCGAAGCAUCAAUGCACACACCUGCUGUUGCUUUUGAUUUCUGGAAGGCAUGUAGUUUCAACUUGUAACAAAAAUAUUUGUAGUCUUCAAUAAACUGUGGUAUUUCUUUAGCUAACUCUGGCGUUCUUUCCGUGCAUGUCUUUCUGGACACUAGGAACCAGUGUUGUAUUGUGGAUGAAGGGUGGAGGGUGGCCUUUUAAUUCAGACCCCAGCAUAGGCAAAGAGCUGUUAACUUUUCUGUAUGGUUGUUUUUAAGGUGGGAGGAGGGGAAACAACCUCAGUUUUCCAGCCUGUUGAUUGGUUGGUGAAGGAGGCUACUUAUAAAAUACCUGAUUCCCAUGCUUAUAUCUCUUCACUUUUCCAUUUGGAUCUUCCCUUUUUGCUUCUGACAUAAGCAGAGGAGAAAGGACAAAAAGGUUUAUGGAGAGAAAAGCAAAAAGAGAUGGUGUUCUAGGCUGUCGAUAGGGAAGCAUUUUCCAAGAUUUAAUUCCCACAUCUGUUUCCCAAAGACCGACUGGCUGAUUGAGAUCUGAUAAAUCAUUAGUGAUCAGCUAGUUGAUGACUCAGGUUCUGUGGAAACUGUGCUAGCCUGGAACAUUGUUCUUAUCCUUUGAUGGUUUCUCAGAGAUUGUGGAUUAUUAGUCAUUUUGCACUUGUAGGUGUAGCAGAGGAUGUGUGGGAGAGAUUUGAUUAGACAUCCUAAGUAUGGAAAUUCUAAUCACUACUCGGUCCACCAUCUACUAGUACACCAUCAGCCCUUUGGUUUAUAGAGUUAACUUAGAUGACCAUCUUUGGUUAAUUGAAAACCAAAGUGUUCAGCUUUCGUUGUAUUUGUUUCCAGCCCUCUAGAGUCAUUUUGCUCUGUGGAGGGUGAUCAGCUUUCCCAGGGCCUGUCAUAUUAGGAAAGAAUGGUUCUUGCUUCUCCUCCCUACCAUGCACAUUCUGUUGGAAUGAUUGUCACUGUUUGGGAGUGGGUAUAGGCACGACAUAAUAUAGGAAAGAAAAAGGGAAACCUUUAUCUAGGCUGAGCAUAAUUGUAGUAUAGGGUCGGGAAAUCAAUACCCAUUAUUUUCCUAGGUUUUCUAAUGGUUACCUUGAGGCUAUUAUGGUGACUACACAGUAUUCUUGGAGGCGGGGGUCUGCGUUUUCUAGUUCCUUAACCUCAUAUCCAAUUUAAGACCUCUGGACUAGAAGCUGUAUUUUAGCUAUUCCAGUCUCUGCACAGAAUAAGACCAGGUAGGGGUAUAGUACAAUUAAAUUUCUUCUUACCAGCCAGAUUAAGAAUCUAAUUAGUCAAUUUUUCCCUUCCUCCGGAGCAAUCUAGCCUUGAUUUGCAGAGGGUAAUCCUUUGCAGUAAAGAAAAAUCAGUGUUGGGGUUUGUCUUUAAAAUGUUCUGUUUAUUCCACCUUCAGUCUCAAUCCUUCCCCACAGCCCUUAUUUUUUAGCCAUUUCUGUUCUUGAACUCCCUGUUCUUAAAAUUUGCUACCCUGUUUUUCUCUAGAUGAACAUCUGAAGUUUGGAAAGGGAAGGGGAAAAAUACCCCGUUAGCUCCUUAAGAGGUUCCUGUCUUGUUCCCGUCUACUUCAGUACCUUCAGAGUGUAGAGUUGAUACUUUGGAGAUGGGGAAGUAUUUUCUCUUGCUUGGUUUCUGUAGUUCUGUUCUUUUUCCUAGUUGGUGUUUGCUCCUCCCUGGAACUAUCUGGACUUAUGAUGUGGGAGGGUUUUCCAGGUUAAGAUGCCUCUUCUGUUGGGAAGAUUCUAAAGUGACUGUCCAAGGUGGGCUUAAUUUCUGAAGGCUGGCUUUGUCAUAGGCAUUGGUUGGGAGGAUUUGGGUUCUGGAGUUUGAAGGGGGACUGCUGUUGAAUUGUGGGUAAAUGGAGAAUUCCUUAUUUGUGAUUUGUUCACUUAACACAGCGUUUUUAAAAAAAAUUUUCAUUGGGGUGUUUGUAACAGCAGAGGACAAGGAAAAAGAUCCUAGGCAUAGACAGAAACCCAAAGUUAUUCUGGUUUCAUUUUGUCUUCAUGGGACCUAAUGUGUUUUUAAAAUCAUGCUGUAAAUUCCUAGCUGUUUUGUUUCUCAAAUCUUUAAAAUUUCUUUUGAAAUGCUUAAUCUAGCAUUUAUCCCAUGGCCUUUUCUGUCUCGUUAAUCCAUUGCCAAACCCCAGGAAGAAGAGUGUAGUAUAUAUUUCAGCUUGAGGAAAACAAAAUGAGUGGUUAUACUGCUAUGGUUUCCUUAAAACUGUAGUAGUUAUAGGAAGAAGUUUGUCAACUGGAAACAUGCAAGUAGUGGUGUGGGUUAGGGCUUUUCAUGGAAACAACUAAAAAAACAACCAAUGUAUUUAGUUUCUGUAUCCCACAUAAGCUUUAGGAAAUAGCCCACUCUUACCUACACACUUUCCCUCCUUGCCUCUGUACUAGAAGUGAGUAAAUGGAAACUCACCUUUAUGCCAGCACUUUAAUUAAUAAAAAGCUGAAAAACUCCUAAGACUGGAGAACUGGACUAGGUGAGCCAAGGCUCCAGGAAUAAAAAUGCUCUUGGGGACUGAAUUGAGCUGUUCCUCCAGUACUUACCGUAUGUAGUAAAGGUAUGGAUUCUGAGCCCAAAAGUUGUCUCUUCAGGGACUAUCUAAAUCUUCAGGGGCAGGACAUGUAGGGUUUGGGUAGAUUGAUUUGAAGUGGACACUACAUUUUUAUUACAUUCUUUUUGGCUUUGGCACAGAAGUGUUUUGAAAUCAUAUAGGCUGAUGAGGUUUGGUCAUAUUCCCUUGCUUACCCCAAAAACAGCUCACCUCAGUCUCGUACCUAUACUCCAGAUCUAUCUGGAAAAGGAAAACGAACCCUUAGGGAGCCUGUGUGUCAUGAACUCUUAUGAUCUCAGGACUGACCUGAAGGUGGGAAAACAGACCAAAAUUCCCUUUCAGUGCUAUAGCUAGCAAGGCUGCAGACGUCACUUGACCCCAGGAACAGGGCCAGCAGCUAGCUGAGCUAACCUCCUGUCUGUUUCCUCCUCCCUCAGGCGUAUCAGUCACCUCCAGCAACACGGGCGUGCCAGAUAUCUCUGGAUCUGUGUACUCCAAAACCCAGGUAGGUGCCCGGCUCUGGACAGAAGUAGAAAAAGAGAGAGACAGAGAUGUGGUGGCUGAGGAUCGAACCCAGUGCCUCACAUGUGCGAGGCAGGUGCUCUUCCAUUCAGCCCCAGCCCCCACACUACCUUUUUUAAAUGGUCUCUAGAUUUCAGUUUUUCUAGGAGUUUGAAUUUAGCUCUCUGAGAAGAAACCACAAAGAUGAAUAGGAAGCCAGGUGUGCUAAAAGGCCUGUAAUCCCAGUGACUCAGAGCCUGAGGUAGAAGGAUUGAGAGUUCAAAGCCAGCCUCAGCAACUUAGCAACUGAGUGAGACCCUGUCUCUAAAUAAAAUACAGAAAAGGGCUGGGGAUGUGGCUCAGUGGUUAAUUGCCCCUUAGUUCAAUCCCAGGUACCAAAAAAAAAAAAAAAAGAAAUAGGAAGGUGAGGUGUGGUACAUUGUUAUAAUGUGAUGUGGGUUAUUGUGCAGUUGUCCUGGCUUUUUUGCCCAGGGGCAGGGAUGCCAAGGAUAGUUAGCAAAUUUUCCUGUUUAUGUACAACGCUAGUUAAUUUCACAUUCAUCCUUCUGUUUGAUCCCUACAACAGAGAGGUCAGUAGCAUCCCUGUUUCAAGUAUGAGGCAACUAAGGCUGAGAGAUUGGUAUUUUCCCAGGAUUGGGUAGCUGUUAAAAGGGCAAGAGUUGGGACUGAGACUUUUAUAUCUGACUCGAGAUAUUCUGUUCCUUCUGACUAUGCUGUUUUCUGAGGGUGGGGGAGCUUUGGCUCAGAAAUUCCCAGGAUUCCUUUGCUGAUACCUUUUAUUCUUUCUCCUUCUUUCUUCCUGGACAGCAGUCCUUUGAGAAACAAGGUUUUCAUUCCGGUACUCCUGCUGCCUCCUUCAACUUGCCUUCAGCCCUAGGAAGUGGGGGGCCCAUCAAUCCGGCCACAGCUGCUGCUUACCCACCUGCCCCCUUUAUGCACAUUCUGACCCCACAUCAGCAGCCGCACUCCCAGAUCCUUCACCAUCACCUGCAGCAGGAUGGCCAGGUAAUAGCCCUUCUCCCUCUCUCCUUUCCCUUCCUCUUCCUUCCUGUCCCUUUAAACUGCCUCCCCUUUCCUUUUCUUACCCUUCCUCACCACCACCUUCACCCAAUCCUCCCCAGCGCCAGCCAGGGGCACACAGCACAUACAGACACAAGCGCACAUAACACAAGCGGCCGGCAAAAGAAAUGUCAGAGAAGGGGCAAGAUCAAAACCCUUUUUGCCCAUUUCCUUUGGUGUCUUUUUUUCCUCCACCUCCUCCCAUGGCACAGUUGUCCUCAUCCCAUCAGACCUGGGUCACACCUUCCCUUUUACCUCUCCCAGCCUUUCCCCUUUCCUGACAUUAUAGCUUUCCCUUCUAAUGGUGGAGUUCUAUUGUCAAAGUUUGUCCCUUUAUUUUCCAUAUAUCCUGGUUCUGCCUCAGCUACCAUAUUUGCAGAUGAUUCUCUGUUGCCAGCGCCAGCAGGAGGAGCAGGUAAUGAAACUGAAUGAUGAUAUGCUUGAACCCACUCCUUUUCAGACCCCAUUUCACCUCCAAAGCCUCAGGGAACUUGAAAAGAUUGCGCGGUCACACAUCGGGAUACACAAACACAAAACACCUUGCUGAGCUCUCUGGCCUCCCUAUCCUCUGUUCUCCUUCCCUCCUCAAUACCCUCUUGAUCUUUCUGUCCUUCCCCAACUCUGGAAAAACACUUGGUUACCAGAAUGAAAAAGAUUGGUGGGGCAGAAUCUGGAGCCUGAGGCUUCAGACUGUCUCUCCUUUCUUGCCUGAAACAGGCUCAUAGAUGUGAUGUGUGGUGGUGGAGAGAUCCACGGGGUGGUACAAGAGACCUCUUGAGAGCUCCAUCAUAGGUGGCUGGAGACCUAGAAUUAAGGGGUUCCCUGCUCUCAGCUUUUCAAGUUGAGGCAUUUAUGGGACUUAAUGAAAAUGGAAUUACCUUGUGGUCACUCAUCUCCCAGAACCAUAAUUCUCAUAGUACCCUUUUUUUUUUUCCAGACCCAGGUCAGGGGUAGUGAGAGAAGGUAGAAUUCAAAAUGAGUAGAACUGAGUUAUUAUCUCUAAGGUAUCUUGUCCUCUUUUCACCUUUCCCCUAUUUAAAGGUCAAAAAUGCUUUCUUGCAUGGAAGAGAGGGGGCUGUAUUAGCUAUGGAGACCAAAUUUCUAUGGUUGAAAAGUAAAUGUCAAUAGAAUCUGAGCAAGGGGAACAGGAGAGUAAGGCAGUUUGCACAUCUCCACCUGGACAUGGUACAGAUUUGUCCCACUAACUAGACACCUUUUUCCUCCCCAUCAUCCUCCCAUUCCCCUGCAGACGGGCAGCGGGCAACGUAGCCAGACCAGCUCCAUCCCGCAGAAGCCCCAGACCAACAAGUCUGCCUACAACAGCUACAGCUGGGGGGCCAACUGAGGCCCUGACCCUCCUCUCCCGGUCCUAUCUUCUGAGAGGGCUUCUCAGCCUGGAAACUAUGGAAACAGCAUCAAAGAGAGAAAGGAAUGUGGGGGGGGUUCCGCUGCCCCCCAUCCCCAGCGGCCCACCCCAUGCCUCAGCUUCAUGUCUGUCCCAUUCCUAUACCAUCCCCACCCUGUUGUAUGUAUUAUAGGAUUUGUAUUUUCUUUUUUUUUUUUCUUUCCUUCCUUUCCUCUUCCUCCUCCUCCCUUGCAUUCAAGAUUAUGAAACUUUGCUGUGGGCCCUGCCCUUCCUUCACUUCUUCCUGUUCACCCUGGUGGUAUAUGGGUGAAGUGGGGAGGUGGGACCCCCAAAUAUAUAUCAGCCCAACAGCCCUAAGUCUCCUCCUUUAUUAUUAGGAAAACAAAAACAACAACAACAAAAAAAAAUGGCGUCAUGAAUAUGAACAGCAUUGUCAGAUGAAUUAGUUGAAGUGGUUUUUUUUUUUUUUUUUUUUGGGUUUUUUUUUUUUUUGUACUGUGUCCUCAAAUUUAAUGGAUUAAUGUGUCUUGUAUAUAUAAAAAGAAAACCUCUACCUUCAGCCUCUGCCCAUUCUUGCUCCGUCUAGGAUAUCCUCAGUCUCGUCGAUGACCAGCUUGGUGAAUAAGUAUUACCGUACCAACUGGGCCUCCUCUUGCAGGCCUCGAAGGCAGUGGAAUAAAAUGAAAUCUUUGCCCUUUAAG
rnacentral:lncRNA from 1 species